rnacentral:lncRNA from 1 species
CCUUCUCAAACCACUCAAUGUACUCUUCCUCUUUAGGGAAGAGCAUCCACAUAUCUGCGAAAAAACGUGACAACCAAAAAGUAGGGUAGACUGGACCAAUUAUACAUGCUUUCCCUCCCAAUUUCAGUACCCUGUAUGCUUCCCUGAUGCCACGUUGAGGAUCUGGCCAAUACUCAAUACUGGGAAGACAAGAAUAAAAUCCUUUAGAGAUAGACUGUAAUGUGAAAGGUCUAUAUAGCUCUUUAAGUUGAACAGAAACGCAGUAAGUAUUGAUUGUAAUACCAAUCCAUGUAGCAUAAAAAAUAAAACCACGCACAAAGAUAAAAACUGUUUCUGGCAUUUUGUUUAAAACCUGGGACUUUUAAGGAUUAUCUAGAACUGCAGUAAAGAGCUUCUCUUCAUGAAUAAAUACUCUAUUAUUCAUUUUCUAUCCAAUUCAUUGCUUUAUUUCUUUUUGCAUUAAAUAUAAUUCAGCAACAAAAUCAAACAAAAUUUACCAACAGUGUUUCUUGAAACCCAUAUGAAAGACAUCUCCUGCAAUUCUGAGUUAUUCAUUACAAAGGCAUCACAUGCACUUUCACAAGCACACACAUAUGCGUUAGAAAAAUAGUAAGAUAAUUAAGUUGAGUCCAUCUGGUACUUGUGACUUGUGACAAUAUAUAACCAGGAAGUAUGAAACUAAACAACAAACAAUAUUAUCAAAGAAAAAUCAUUAUGCAUAGAAACACUAAAGAUGAUUCUAAGCACAGCCUUUAGAUUUACAAAUCUUAAUUGUAUGGAUAACAAUCAAUUCCAUCGGAAAACACAAAGUCAGUACAUGCAGUCAUCCAGGUCGAGAAAGGUCACAACAUAAUAUAGUCUUUGAGUUCUAGAAUUGAUAUAUAUAUUUCCAUCAGGUCUAAUCUGUGACACGAACAAUGUAAUUUCUUAUUGUGAUCGGGUCAUUGUCACAGUUCACAUGUCAAGAGUCAAGAUAUCAAAUGUGUCAAACACAAACACCAAAAAUAUCAUACUCAAUAUCAUAUAUAAUCUGCAUCGUAUAACCAGUUAACCACGCAAGGAACACCAUACAGACUUAGAGAUACUAUUCUUAUAACAUGUAAAACCAACAACUAGACAUCACUACUAAAUACAAUAUAUACUAUUGGCUGCGUAUCAACAACACCAGAAUUUGCCAAUAGAAGCUAAUUAAACUAAUAUAAUAUCAUCACCAAGUGAUAACAACAGAACAUAAUAAUUUGAAGCGCAAAAGCCAUGUACAAAUCAUAUCACCAAAACUAGAAAGUUAAUGUGUUAUACCUCCCUGCUGACACAUAUCUAUCAGCAUAAUCAGUUCUAAAUGGAAGAUUCUCCGCAUCUCCCUCAAUUAUCUUACAAUCCUUCAGAGGCUCCUUUUCCUUAGCUUUAGCAAGCUGAUGAGGAGACUGAUCAAGAAUGGUAACAUUCUUGGCAUCCACAUGUUUAACGAUACCCAAAGUAGUGAACCCUGUCCCUCCACCAACAUCAACCACAAGCAUAUUCCUAUUAUUCAAAUCAGCUGGCUCAAGUGCAUCAUCUCUCAUAUCUUCAGUCCAAUGUCCAGGAUUAAUAACAUGGUCAUACACAAUUGACAAGAAUCUGUAAAACCAAAAGGCCUCUUUCUUGUUUUGAAUAAACCUAGGCUGUGAAGAUGGCCUUGCAGAUGAAGCACUACAUUUGGGAACAAAGGUUGUACUUUUACUUCUAAAGGUGAGAUUUUUUUUACCAUUAGAAGUGAAACUAAGCUUAGUGAAAGGCUUACCAUUCAAAUUUGACCUUACAAGACCAAGCCCAUUUGGGGUAAUUCCUCUAAUGAGUGUGAAAUUUUCAGUACCACUAAGCAUUGAAGAAGCCAUGAAAUGAAGAAAUAACAAAUACCCAGAUAAAAUAACUUACAAAUUACAAGCUUAGGUGAUUGAAUUGGUGGUUGUAACCAAAACUAAUGCAGAUUGUAGCAACUUGGCUUGAGAACUAGUGCAUGAUCUUGGCUCAAAAGUUGCAACUGUUCUACCCUUUGGUGAUUUUACAGAGUGUGUAUGUAACAUCAAGACAAGGGGCCCAGAAACCAAGAAACCUUAGCUCUUCAGUUGCAUUUGUGGUGGUUGUUUGGUCAUUCUAGUGGCUCAGAUUUUCAGUGUAUAGUUGAUUAUUUAUUUUCUUUAAAAAAAUUAUUCAUGAAUAUCCAUUUUUUUAUCAAUUUUAUUUUUUGUGUAGAAAUAAUAUCGAAUUUUGUGUCACAAAUAUUCAAUUUUAACUAUGUCAUAUAUUAUUUUUACUAUUUCAUCCACUGAGGUAAAAAAAACAAAGUAUUUUGUAAUAAAAUAAAAAUGGAGGGAUUAGUUGAAUAGUUUAGAUGGACCAAUUGUUUUUUAAGGACGAACUAUAAAUUUGGGUCAAACUCCGAAGUGUUUAUAAGCAAUAGCCUCUAUUGAAGCCCAGUUAUCCAACUACAUCUUAUUCAGCUAAAAUCAAGUUGUCAGAUAACUUGAGAUCCAUUUUCCAACUUCUUUAUUUUUGUUUAAUUCACAGUAAACGACUUAAUUGUGGACUUCAUUAAGUUCCAAACCUUGUACACAGUUUUUGGACCCUAAUCAACUUAAGGAGAGCAUCUGUGCUCGUAUGAGCACUUGAACAUUAUGCUUAUAUAGCCCCUCUCACUGGAUGCUCAAAAUUUUUGGAUACAUAUUUUUUGACUUAUUGAGAUUUUUUUUUUUUUUGUCCAGUACCUUGUAGAAGAGUUUAAAAGCUUGUUUUUGGAUGGUAUCCACCUCAGUUGAGCUUCUCAAUUAGUAGACCCUGUCCCAUUAGACCACUUGCUCAUUAAACAGAAAACUUCACAACUAAAUUAGGCUGGUAAACUUAAGAGGCAUUUGGAUCAUGGUUAAUGAGCCGGUUAACUGGAAUUAGAAUCUCAAAUUUAUCUCCGUAUUCGGAUUAGUAACUUUUUUUACUCUUUGGGAUACCCCGUUCCCACAUCUCUUAAUCCCAUUCUCGAUUCUCAUUCACAUCCUUAGUAAACAGGCUUUUGGGAGCUAAAGAGGCUGUGCCUUUACGAUGAUUAAUAAGUAAAGUAGGAGUCAUGCUAGUCCCAAAUCUACAAGGUCGGCAAGCCCCACAAUGAAGAUUCAAGGAAACCAAUCACUAUCGUAAGUAUGACUCUGGUUUUUCCCUGUUCUUAAGCACCGUGAUUUUACUGUCGCACAGUUAUGAUUUAAUGGCAUCUGCUAGAUACUAGCCUCUGAGCUGACAUCAAUUUUUAUAAGCCAAUGUAUAUAGGCCAUCUUUUCUUAUCUGAUUUAUAAAAACAAACGAUAAAUAUAUGGUUUUUACAAUCUUGCAUCAAGGCUCGCCUAAGUAGCAUAGACAAGAUCAUAAUUAUUCAAGUAUUAUAUAUUUUAGUGGAUCUUCAUCAUCCGCAUCUCGUUGAAGAAUACUUUGACAUACAUUUUGACAAGUCCUUUAGAAUUCGUAGAACGGCACCAGGCUUUCGCUCUUCUGGAUUAGCUAGUGCAGGAUGUACUGUGCUUUUGCUUUGCAUUGCCUGCAUGUUACACAGGAAACAAACAAAUAUUUACAAUAUAAAAGGUAAAAUAUAAACAUAGAAAAGAACAGUAGAAGGAUUUGAAACAAUUACAUAGUUUGUAACAUGGUUGCUUAAAUGCUGGAUCNNNNNNNNNNNNNNNNNNNNNNNNNNNNNNNNNNNNNNNNNNNNNNNNNNNNNNNNNNNNNNNNNNNNNNNNNNNNNNNNNNNNNNNNNNNNNNNNNNNNNNNNNNNNNNNNNNNNNNNNNNNNNNNNNNNNNNNNNNNNNNNNNNNNNNNNNNNNNNNNNNNNNNNNNNNNNNNNNNNNNNNNNNNNNNNNNNNNNNNNNNNNNNNNNNNNNNNNNNNNNNNNNNNNNNNNNNNNNNNNNNNNNNNNNNNNNNNNNNNNNNNNNNNNNNNNNNNNNNNNNNNNNNNNNNNNNNNNNNNNNNNNNNNNNNNNNNNNNNNNNNNNNNNNNNNNNNNNNNNNNNNNNNNNNNNNNNNNNNNNNNNNNNNNNNNNNNNNNNNNNNNNNNNNNNNNNNNNNNNNNNNNNNNNNNNNNNNNNNNNNNNNNNNNNNNNNNNNNNNNNNNNNNNNNNNNNNNNNNNNNNNNNNNNNNNNNNNNNNNNNNNNNNNNNNNNNNNNNNNNNNNNNNNNNNNNNNNNNNNNNNNNNNNNNNNNNNNNNNNNNNNNNNNNNNNNNNNNNNNNNNNNNNNNNNNNNNNNNNNNNNNNNNNNNNNNNNNNNNNNNNNNNNNNNNNNNNNNNNNNNNNNNNNNNNNNNNNNNNNNNNNNNNNNNNNNNNNNNNNNNNNNNNNNNNNNNNNNNNNNNNNNNNNNNNNNNNNNNNNNNNNNNNNNNNNNNNNNNNNNNNNNNNNNNNNNNNNNNNNNNNNNNNNNNNNNNNNNNNNNNNNNNNNNNNNNNNNNNNNNNNNNNNNNNNNNNNNNNNNNNNNNNNNNNNNNNNNNNNNNNNNNNNNNNNNNNNNNNNNNNNNNNNNNNNNNNNNNNNNNNNNNNNNNNNNNNNNNNNNNNNNNNNNNNNNNNNNNNNNNNNNNNNNNNNNNNNNNNNNNNNNNNNNNNNNNNNNNNNNNNNNNNNNNNNNNNNNNNNNNNNNNNNNNNNNNNNNNNNNNNNNNNNNNNNNNNNNNNNNNGACUUACAAACAAAUCAUAAUUUCAUAUUUUAUUUAAUUGAAAAUAUUAAUUUAUUGUUUAUAAAUUAAAUUCUUAUACAUCAUUUACAAUAUAUUUAAAAAAAUUUAUAAAUAAUUAAGAAGCUCCCGUGCCUUGCACGGGCUAUAAGCUAGUAUAUUAAAAGUGUAGUAGUAGUUGGAUGAAACAAUCCUCACUGGUGAGCCUCAAAUAAAUUAUCUUCUAUUUACCAUAAUUCAUCAAGUUGUAAUAAAUCAUCAACUAUGGGCCUUACACGCUUAAUUAGGAAAUGACAAAAAUGGACUAAUAAUAAUAUCAACUUUCAUCAAAAAAAAAAAAUAAUCAUAAUAAUAUCAACUAAAAUAUCUACUAUCUGUAAUGAUGAGCUUCAAAGAUUCCACUAUAUGAUUAUAAGCUGUUUCUGAAGAAAAAUUUAAGAAGUUUGCAUGAUCUGGUGGAGUAGAAUAUAAUUGAGGAAAAAGUAGAUUUUGUGAAGAUUUUUGGGAGCAGGGGCGGAACUAGGGGGGCAGAGGGGGGCUUGAGCCCCGGCUAGACCAAAAAAUUUUAAUAAAAUUCUUUUUUUUUAGUCAUGGAUAUAUUAUAAAAUAAAAAAAAGAAAAUUUUUGAGCCCCGGAUAAUUGUUUGAGCCCCGGAUAACUUGGGGAUAUAUAUGAAGAUGCUGUUUAUCAAGAACAAAAAGGUAUUGCAGAAGGAUUACUUGAAAAGAUGCAGACAUUCAAGUUUGUGUUUACAUUGCGUUUGAUGAAAGAUAUCUUGGCAAUAACCAAUGAUUUGUCAGAAGCCUUACAACAAAAGACUCAAAAUAUUAUCAACGCCAUGACUAUGGUUCGAGCUACGAAAGUGGAACUACAGUCAUUAAGAGAAGACAAAUGGGGGACACUUUUAGAAAGUGUUAAGAAUUUUUGUGUUGAGAACUCCAUUGAAGUACCUAAUAUGAAUGACAUAAUACCAAUUCGGGGUCGCUCAAGGCGUGAAGGACAAGCUGUUACAUACAUUCAUCUAUACCGUGUUGAAAUAUUUUGUGGGGUUAGUUACUUACUUUAAUUAUUUAUGUGUCUUUUAUUGUUUAGUCAAUAGUACAACUUAUCUAUUUGAGUAUGCCAUGUUUAUAUAUUCUGCUCAAAUUUAAUUUUCAGGUGAUUGAUAUUAUUUCUCGAGAGAUGGAAAAUCGUUUUUCAGAGACAAACAGUGAGCUGCUUACUUGCAUUGCCUCUCUUGAUCCCCGAAAUUCUUUUUUGGAUUUUGAUCAUGCAAAGCUUCUUCGAUUAGCACAGUUUUAUCCAAAUGAUUUCUCGUUAAUGGAUCAAGAACUGUUGAGUACUCAGUUAAACAACUUCAUCUUUGAUGUCCGAAGCGAUAAACAUAUUUCAGAACUUAAGAAUAUAGGGGAGCUUGCAAUUAAAAUGGUGAAGACUCGUAGACAUACAGCUUAUCCUCUUGUUUAUCGAUUGAUUGAGUUAGCUCUUGUUUUGCCUAUUGCGACAGCUACCGUUGAGAGAGUAUUCUCGGCAAUGAAAAUUGUGAAGUCUGNNNNNNNNNNNNNNNNNNNNNNNNNNNNNNNNNNNNNNNNNNNNNNNNNNNNNNNNNNNNNNNNNNNNNNNNNNNNNNNNNNNNNNNNNNNNNNNNNNNNNNNNNNNNNNNNNNNNNNNNNNNNNNNNNNNNNNNNNNNNNNNNNNNNNNNNNNNNNNNNNNNNNNNNNNNNNNNNNNNNNNNNNNNNNNNNNNNNNNNNNNNNNNNNGACUAACUUUUGUGCAUGAUUAUAAACCACUAAUUGGGGAUUUUAUUUCAUACUUGAGCUAGUAAAUAUAUUAGUAGGCUAUAAAAUUAGUGAAAUUGAGAAGGAUAAAACUAAACAAUCACAAAACUCUAAUAAUGGAAAAUUUAGAUUAACGAGGUAAUGGAAAAUUUAGAUUAACGAGGACUAUGCAAUUCAACCUAAACUGACAUUAUCGUGUUCUUUGAUUAUGAGUAUUUCUAACUGAGGAAAAUUUACUUUUCAUGCUUCCAUGGCAUCAUCACCAUCCAACAAUCAAAAGGAGAAAAAAAAAUUGCAGCUUGUAUUUACAUAUUUCUCAUCUCUCAACGAAUCUCAUCCAAAGCAUUAACACUUAGUCCUCAAGAAACAAGUUGUUUAUUGAAUUACAUGUCUUGAAAACAAAAAAUUAUGUCUAGUAUUUUGAAGAUGUUGCAGCUUUGAACAAAACAUAAAGCUCUGGGACAUGUUUCGAGGACGAAGAGGUGGCUGAUAUCCUUUUACAACUCGGUGAACAAUCUCGCAAGAAUGUAAAAGGUCAAGAUGAAAAUGAUCCGCCUAGGGCAUCAAAUGUCAUAGUAUGCCAGACCCGAUGCCGAAAAGUUGAUUCAGCAAAACAAGAUGUUUCUAUAUGUGAGCGGAGUAUUGAAUUGUGGGUUUCAAUUAGGAUUCAAUCACAUGAUGUAAUGACAUGUUUGCACUUUAAACUCGCAGCAACAUCUCGACUUGGGUAUUAAAUUUAAGCCAUAUUGAGAAGCUAUCAACUGAUGUAAUGACAUGUUUGUACCUUAAACUCGCAGCAACAUCUCGACUUGUGUAUUAAAUUUAAGCCAUGUUUGGAAUCUAAAGAUUUGAGAAAUGAUUUGAGGUUCGGGUCAAAUUUGAGAUUUGACUAGACGAAUCAUCUGAUAAUAGUAUACUAGUAUUUGGUAGUUAGUAUUUUUAUUUCCAGAUAUCAAAAGUGGGUGAAAAAGGCCCGAAUAAUAACAUAUCAGAUCUUACAAACAAGACAGUACUACAUUAAUAUAAAAGUAUAUCAUAUAAACUUUUAAAAGUAUAUCAUAUAAACUUUUCUCGGCAGAUUGAUUUUCUUAAAGUGGUUGUUCAAGGUGGAAGUUGUAACAUGAUGCUCUCCAACUUCCUAGUACAAGCUAAUUUGAGUAAAUUGAAGGAUGACUCUAAUAAUCAAGAAAUCCUAAUAGUAAUAAAAAAAUGUCCGAAUGAAAACAUUGAAAAAUGAACGCGAAACUAUAAGCAUUAGUUUUCUAGAUGAAUUAAUAGAGCUUGGAACGAUCCUUUGUGAAUGAAGAAAACUCAUCGCAGUUGGGAAUUCAUACAUCUUUUAAAUGUCAACAAUUUUAAAAUAUAAUUUAUAAAUGAAUGAUUGUAACCGGACAAUGUGAGCUGAAGGUAGUACAAUGAUUAUUGAAAUCAUGAUAUCUAACUACGCUGAAUGCAAGUUUUUGAAAUCAGUGGAAGCAUGAAAUGAAAAAUAUCACUCAUGAGAGAAGGAGGUAUUCAAGAAUAUAUGAGAAAUUAAUUUUCUGAGGAUAUAUUCUCGAAGCCGGUAAUUGAAAUUUAAAAAUUUUGUAUAAAGUAGGAUGUGAAUCAACUACACUUGAAGAAGUGGUCUGCGGCAGAUAAUCUAAUGGGACUUUAUUAAUUCAUUUAGUAAACAUAUAUAAUUGUAUUUAUAAAAUUUAAAUUAAAUUCAAAAUUUUAAAAUCGAUACAAAGAAGGCAAGAACUCCAUGUCUACGGUUGUGAAUAUACCUCAUAGGCGUAUUGUUAUUUUCCAUGCAUAUAACAAAAGCAAAUCCUAAUCUAUGAGGUCCAAAAAAGGUAAGAACUCUAAUUUGUCUGAAUAGCCCUCAUCAUGAUUAUAGAGAAGAUAGCUUUAAACAUGAUUUUUAUGAUAAAUCUCAUAAUUCGUGCAUAAGUUUUAUACUCAUUCACCCCCCUCCCUCUCAAAGUUUUGUUUAUUCUUACUAUUUAUUAAAAAUAAUAUAAAAAUAGUUUGUAUCUUUCGCAUCGAGCACAUUGAUAUGUAUGUGGUAUACGUAAUUUUUCCUAUCUGUGGCACUGGCACCAGAGAAGAGGCCACCAAUGUGUGAGGUUGUGAGAGAGUCUUUGAUGUAACUUUUCAUCUUCAGAUAUAAUUUAUAUCUUUGCGUGAGGUCUUUGAUAUGAUCCACGUUCAAUUUGUGGGCAAUGAGUGCAAAUUGUCGCACUUUGUACGUAAUUGUUUUCUACAUUUUAGUUUUAGAAUAAAAUGUUGUUUGAGCUUGGAGGAAAAACAUGAACAUGUGAUAAAAUUUUGUGUCAUAUUUGGCUUGGGUAAAACAAAGAAUAAGUAGGAGAGUAAUAAUGUGUUUUGAAAUGUAUCUCUUUGUUUCCUCCCUUCAUAUAUUUUAAGGUGAAAUCAUAUUAUUUUAUGUUUUUUUCAUUUGUAAUUUUACAAGUAAAAAGUGCAAGAUGAUCCUGUAAUAGCAUUCAAAACUUUCACAAAGCUAAUAGAUCGGUGAGAAGUGUACCAUUUGGUUACCUCUGAGCACAUAUGUUAUUUAUGCGAGCCUAAAGAUAUAUUUUAUUUUUGUGUUUGUACUCUAUUAUUAUCAUGUAUAGUUUCAACAUUUCUGAGAAAAAGGUCGGUGAUCAGACUUCAAAGCAUUCUGGUGACAACUGUGGGUGUAACUUUGGCCACUGGCCAAUAUUAGAACUGAAUAAUAAAGACGAAACCAUCCGAGAGGGACCAUAUCAUUGAUUUUGAAUACACUAGUCAAGAUCCAAUAAAUACUUGAGGUUGUCAAGACCUUUAAUUGUAAAAGCCUUAUGCAACUCAGAUUUAAUACCAGAAUUGGCUCAAAUCAUUUCUAGUGAGCAAUAAAUCAUCAACAUCAAAAACAAUUGAUGUAAAUGGAGUGCCAGUAGUCUUGACAAACAAAGAAUAGUCCUGAACUGAUUGAGUAUAGCCCAUAGAAAUGAGAAAUUUGGACAGUUCAUAAUUCCGUUGCCUUGAAGCCUGUCUUAAACCAUAAAUUGACUUUGUUAAUUUACAAACACAUGUUCAUAAUUCUUCUUGGCUACAGAGCACAUACCAUCAUGGUCCGUCACCACCUCACCAGUUUCUAUAUUCGGAGAUGAAAUAUGAUUAAUCUUUUUCCGCAUUAAGGCUGACGUAGGAAUAAGCUUUGUAUUAAUCCCCUUUAACAAGCCAAAAUGUUUUUGCUCUUUGUCUCCGGUGCACUUCCUCAUGAAGUAACAGUUCAUUCAAAUUAUUUCCUUAUAUUCUCCUCAUCAAGACAAUUAACAAGAAAAUUCAACACCCAACCUAGAUAAGAAGUGAGGAAAAAUAGUACAUUUUAUAAUCUAGAGCAAGUAGAUUUAUACUUUCAGGUUAUCUGAUAUGAAUUCAGUUGUAGUCUUCCUAAUUAUCCUUUUAGCUGAAGUUGAAAGCUUCAAUCUCGUCUUCAACGAGUAUGAUGAUCGAUCCGGUACUUAUACUGAAAACAUUAUACUAAGGAGCGCUUUCUCAGGAAAAAACAUUUUUUAAUUUGCCUAAAAAAGUCGCUCUUGGCCACCUUUUUGAUGAAUCAAGACAAAAUAUGCCACCCUAUUGCAACUUUGAAACUCUAAUCACUAAAUUGAAAAAAUGAUAAAGUUCUGCCAUCAAUUUAUAUUUUACUCUUUUUACAACUUUGAAACCCACAUGCAGUGAGUUAAGCAAUGUUAACCUUUAACUAAUUAACCUCUGGACUUGCUGUAACUGUAAACAUUUAAACCUCAUAUAGAACAUUCGAAGAAAAAACUAGGGCCGGAUUACCUGCAUUUUUGGUCACUAGUAUGCCUUCUCUGCUAACCUUUCAUAUCAAAUGUACAAUUGUAUAGAUCAAACUAGUUACUUUAUGUAUACAAAGCUUCCAGAAAUAACUAUGAUAAUAAACUAAAAAACAUCAGAACUAUAUAAACCAAAUAAAAUUAUCAAAUCAGUUUAAAUUCAGUAAAAAUGAAAAAAAUCACCUGGGGUUGACGAGUUCUUUUUCUGGAAAACAUCCCACCAAUCAAAAUAAUGGAUUUGGUGUCUAAAGGGACAACUGUUCUUCCACUAGCUGUGCUCUUCUUGGCCUUUUUUACAUCUUUCAUUGCUUCCUUGGGAACCAUUGAUGAGCUUCAAAGAUUCCACUAUAUGAUUAUAAGCUGUUUCUGAAGAAAAAUUUAAGAAGUUUGCAUGAUCUGGUGGAGUAGAAUAUAAUUGAGGAAAAAGUAGAUUUUGUGAAGAUUUUUGGGAGCAGGGGCGGAACUAGGGGGGCAGAGGGGGGCUUGAGCCCCGGCUAGACCAAAAAAUUUUAAUAAAAUUCUUUUUUUUUAGUCAUGGAUAUAUUAUAAAAUAAAAAAAAGAAAAUUUUUGAGCCCCGGAUAAUUGUUUGAGCCCCGGAUAACUUGGGGAUAUAUAUGAAGAUGCUGUUUAUCAAGAACAAAAAGGUAUUGCAGAAGGAUUACUUGAAAAGAUGCAGACAUUCAAGUUUGUGUUUACAUUGCGUUUGAUGAAAGAUAUCUUGGCAAUAACCAAUGAUUUGUCAGAAGCCUUACAACAAAAGACUCAAAAUAUUAUCAACGCCAUGACUAUGGUUCGAGCUACGAAAGUGGAACUACAGUCAUUAAGAGAAGACAAAUGGGGGACACUUUUAGAAAGUGUUAAGAAUUUUUGUGUUGAGAACUCCAUUGAAGUACCUAAUAUGAAUGACAUAAUACCAAUUCGGGGUCGCUCAAGGCGUGAAGGACAAGCUGUUACAUACAUUCAUCUAUACCGUGUUGAAAUAUUUUGUGGGGUUAGUUACUUACUUUAAUUAUUUAUGUGUCUUUUAUUGUUUAGUCAAUAGUACAACUUAUCUAUUUGAGUAUGCCAUGUUUAUAUAUUCUGCUCAAAUUUAAUUUUCAGGUGAUUGAUAUUAUUUCUCGAGAGAUGGAAAAUCGUUUUUCAGAGACAAACAGUGAGCUGCUUACUUGCAUUGCCUCUCUUGAUCCCCGAAAUUCUUUUUUGGAUUUUGAUCAUGCAAAGCUUCUUCGAUUAGCACAGUUUUAUCCAAAUGAUUUCUCGUUAAUGGAUCAAGAACUGUUGAGUACUCAGUUAAACAACUUCAUCUUUGAUGUCCGAAGCGAUAAACAUAUUUCAGAACUUAAGAAUAUAGGGGAGCUUGCAAUUAAAAUGGUGAAGACUCGUAGACAUACAGCUUAUCCUCUUGUUUAUCGAUUGAUUGAGUUAGCUCUUGUUUUGCCUAUUGCGACAGCUACCGUUGAGAGAGUAUUCUCGGCAAUGAAAAUUGUGAAGUCUGAUUUGCGUAAUCGGAUUGGGGAUGAGUGACUGAAUGACAGUAUAAUGGUGUACAUCGAGAAGGCAAUAUUUGCGACUGUGGAUAACGAAUCAAUCUUGCAACGUUAUAGCAUAUACAAACUCGCAGAAUUCAGUUAUCUUCUAUUAGUACUUCAAGUAAGGAUGAUAGCACCAGCACAUAAAAAAAAAGGUAUGCUUACUUUUAUGAGAUAAAAAUAUGAAUUCUUGAUGUUAAAUAAUUGAGCCCCGGUUGAUUUUUAAUUCUAGUUCCGCUACUGUUUGGGAGUUUGGGACAAGCAAACCUAACUUCUCAACCCAAUGUGUGCAGUUUUGGUCUUGUAACCUAAGCUUCUGGGCAACUGAUGUAAAACAUACAAAAGAAAAUAAUACUCUCCCAUCCACCUGGGAUUUUAUUAAUUGAUAAAUAAUAUCUCAAAAAAAUAUAUUUUUUUCAAAAGCAGACUAAUAAUAAAACAAAUGUAUAUAUUUUUAGAAUUGAAAAAUCAUAAUUGGUUGGAUUUCUAUAAUAUUAUGGAUACUAUUUAAUCAUUUGAUAGUUGUGAUAAAGUAAAUGAUAAAUUAUUAAUAUUUGGUAAUUAUUCAAUAAUUAUUUAUUUAUAAAUUUCCUUUUGUAUAAAUCAUUUUUAAUAUUAUAAUAUAUAAUAAUUAUGAAAGAAGAUGCAAAUAUACAUAUACUCCUUUUAUAACAUUUUUUUUUAUCAUGCUGAUCAUGAUACAGUUGACCUCAUGUUGCCAUACUAAUGUUCAAGCUCCCAUUAUCCCAUCUGAAUCACAUGAGUUUAUAUACUAAAGCCAUCAAUUUUCAUGUCCUCCAAGUGGAGCUCGAACUAAAGAGCUCCUGCAGCAAGUUCGCCAGAGUAGGAGUUGGCUGCGGCCAGGUUUAGAAGUCCUGCCGCUUCUAGAGUCUCUGUUUUUUCUGAUCAGUUGGACUUUCCAACUUAUUGCACCUAGCUAGGGUUCUCCACGUGAAUCCUGAGGACUUUCAGCUCCAUCUCCUUCUCCCUUUCCUUGUUAGUUGUAAAUUUUGAGAGACCUUACCACAUAGCUUUUAGUUGUACUUUCAAUUUUGAAGUAAAAAAAAAAAGAAGCAAGUGUUUUCUUUCUUUUGAUAACUUAUUUAUAUUUCUGUUAUCUUUGGUUAUUGUUUGCUUAUAUAUUUUCAAUUCUAAUAGUAGAGUAAUUAUUGCUCAUAUUUUCUAUUGGCGAAAACGUUUGUACAAUAUUUAUUUGCCGAGUAUCGAUAAUCUUGCCAUGUGAACCACAAGCAAAAUCUAAUAAUCUUUAUGGAUUUAAUCAUGCCCGUCUUAAACAUUUAAUGGCCCCCUAUGCUAUAUAAAAAAAUUGGGCCCUUGAUAUAAUAUCAAAAAAAAAAUUUAUUUUAUUUUUCUUAUAAUGAUAAUAAAUUAUUUAUACAAAAACAACUUGAUGAUAUUAAUAAAAAAAAUAUAGAGAUGAUGUAUUUACGUAAAUAAGGUUUAAAUUUCAAAGAUGGAAAGUUUUUAUAUGAGUCAUGUUUCUAGUUUUUGCUAAUAUAUUAUACAUCUAUAAAUGGGCCAUAAAUAUUUGGGGGCCCUAAAAAUUUGGAGGCGCUUCAGUUGGGCUGUUUGCACUCCUCGAUAGCCGGCUCUGAAUUUAAUCUUUGUAGAGGGUUUGUAUGCUUUUAGUAAUUUAUUCUCUGCCCUUUUUAUUGUUUUGAUGAUUGGCCUCUAUAUACAAAUAUAUUAAAAGUGUAGUAGUAGUUGGAUGAAACAAUCCUCACUGGUGAGCCUCAAAUUAUCUUCUAUUUACCAUAAUUCAUCAAGUUGUAAUAAAUCAUCAACUAUGGGCCUUACAUGCUUAAUAAGGAAAUGACAAAAAUGGACUAAUAAUAAUAUCAACUUUCAUCAAAAAAAAAAAUAAUCAUAAUAAUAUCAACUAAAAUAUCUACUAUCUGUCAAUAAAAAACUAAAAUAUCUACUAAAUUGUCUUUUCACAACACCUAUGAGUGUGAAAAGAUAUUUACUAAAAUGAUAUGAGGUCGGUACAUUUUGUUACUUAAAUAAAGACUAUAUUUUAAUAUAAUUAAACUAAUAAUAAGAAUAACAAAUAUAUUUCUCAAUAUGUUCAGUUUAAUACAUUUACCUGGGUGGGCCUACGGUAUUCUUGUUAAUAGUCCAAGCCCAGGAAAUCUCACGUUAAAUUUCAUAGUAUAUUUAUAACCUAAUGAUACAUUGUCCACCCAAGCGCCUUCUACAACCUCUUUUUAAUAUAUCUAAGUGGGCGGGCCUACGAUUCUUGUUAAUAGUCCAAGCCCACGAGAUAUUAGGUUAUAUUUCAUAGUAUAUAUAUAACAUAUUCAUACAUUGUCUACCCAGCCGCCUUCUGCAUCCUCUCUUUUCCAAAAACUUAAAAGAUAUACAAUCAACAUCCCAAUUGAGAUACCCAGCUAGUUUAAAACUAAUGGUUGAUCAAGCUUCUACUAUUGAUGAAGAACCGAUGAUGAUUCUUUGUCUUUCGGUGAGCGUUUAUUUUUAUAUAUUAUAACAUCUGUUUUAGAGUUAUUUACAUUAUAGAUCAACAUUUUUUAACUUUUUAAAUGGUUGAUUUCUUAUUCGGUUAACGUGAUUUUUUAGAGAUUGUUUAUGGUACAUCAAAUCAAUUGGCUGCAUCAUUUUUGUUGGUGUGGGUACAAGACCCAGAUCAUGUUUUUUCGUAAGUAGAUCGAAAAUUUUUUUCUUUUAUUUUUAAAAAAUAUAUACAUAUGAUUGAAUUCUUUUAAUUGAUUACUGAUCUUACUAUUUGUAGGGAAGUGUGAUGUGGUGCUCCAAACUAGACAAGAGAUUAGAAGAGAAUACAAGGUAAAAGAAAAAAAAUGAUAGAAAUUUGAAAGUCUUUUUUCCUUGUAUGAACUUUUUUUAUGGUUAAAAUCUAUGGUUAAACAUGCAAUUAUAUGUUAUUUACUUGAAUAGAUUAAUUUUAGCAUCAAUUAUUUUUGUUUGAAAUUAAUUUUUUGAACUUAGUUGAUUUAUUAUUCAGGAUUGUAUAGUUAAAUUCUUGAUUUAAAAUUUAUGUUGCAGCUUAGAAAAUAAAUUUUAAUUUUAUAUUUUAACAAGCCAACAUGUAGAGUACGCAACGGCUGACUAACUUUUGUGCAUGAUUAUAAACCACUAAUUGGGGAUUUUAUUUCAUACUUGAGCUAGUAAAUAUAUUAGUAGGCUAUAAAAUUAGUGAAAUUGAGAAGGAUAAAACUAAACAAUCACAAAACUCUAAUAAUGGAAAAUUUAGAUUAACGAGGACUAUGCGAUUCAACCUAAACUGACAUUAUCGUGUUCUUUGAUUAUGAGUAUUUCUAACUGAGGAAAAUUUACUUUUCAUGCUUCCAGGGCAUCAUCAUCAUCCAACAAUCAAAAGGAGAAAAAAAAAUUGCAGCUUGCUUGUCGAUUUUACUAUGUACUGCCUUGUAUCAUCAAAAAUAAAUAAAAACAAAGCGAAAGGUAAUAUAUAUAUAUAUAUAUAUAUAUAUAUAUAUAUAGACAUAGAUGUAUAAUCAUAUAAUUUACAUAUUUCUCAUCCUUCAACGAAUCUCAUCCAAAGCAUUAACACUUAGUCCUCAAGAAACAAGUUGUUUAUUGAAUUACAUGUCUUGAAAACAAAAAAUUAUGUCUAGUAUUUUGAAGAUGUUGCAGCUUUGAACAAAACAUAAAUCUCCGGGACAUGUUUCGAGGACGAAGAGGUGGCUGAUAUCCUUUUACAACUCGGUGAACAAUCUCGCAAGAAUGUAAAAGGUCAAGAUGAAAAUGAUCCGCCUAGGGCAUCAAAUGUCAUAGUAUGCCAGACCCGAUGCCGAAAAGUUGAUUCAGCAAAACAAGAUGUUUCUAUAUGUGAGCGGAGUAUUGAAUUGUGGGUUUCAAUUAGGAUUCAAUCACAUGAUGUAAUGACAUGUUUGCACUUUAAACUCGCAGCAACAUCUCGACUUGGGUAUUAAAUUUAAGCCAUAUUGAGAAGCUAUCAACUGAUGUAAUGACAUGUUUGUACCUUAAACUCGCAGCAACAUCUCGACUUGUGUAUUAAAUUUAAGCCAUGUUUGGAAUCUAAAGAUUUGAGAAAUGAUUUGAGGUUCGGGUCAAAUUUAAGAUUUGACUAGACGAAUCAUCUAGUAUACUAGUAUUUGGUAGUUACUAUUUUUAUUUCCAGAGAUCAAAAGUGGGUGAAAAAGGCCCGAAUAAUAACAUAUCAGAUCUUACAAACAAGACAGUACUACAUUAAUAUAAAAGUAUAUCAUAUAAACUUAUAAAAGUAUAUCAUAUAAACUUUUAUCGGCAGAUUUCCAACUUCCCAGUACAAGCUAAUUUGAGUAAAUUGAAGGAUGACCCUAAUAAUCAAGACAUCCUAAUAGUAAUAAUAAAAUGUCCAAAUGAAAACAUUGAAAAAUGAACGCGAAAUUAUAAGCAUUAGUUUUCUAGAUGAAUUAAUAGGGCUUGGAAUGAUCCUUUGUGAAUGAAGAAUACUCAUCACAGUUGGGAAUUCAAACAUCUUUUAACUGUCAACAAUUUUAAAAUAUAAUUUAUAAAUGAAUGAUGGUAACCAGACAAUGUGAGCUGAAGGUAGUACAAUGAUUAUUGAAAUCAUGAUAUCUAACUACGCUGAAUGCAAGUUUUUGAAAUUAGUGGAAGCAUGAAAUGAAAAAUAUCACUCAUGAAAGAAGGAACCUAUUCAAGAAUAUAUGAGAAAUCAAUUUUCUGAGGAUAUAUUCUCGAAGCCGGUAAUUGAAAUUUAAAAAUUUUGUAUAAAGUAGGAUGUGAAUCAACUACACUUGAAGAAGUGGUCUGCGGCAGUUAAUCUAAUGGGACUUUAUUAAUUCAAUUAGUAAACAUAUAUAAUUGUAUUUAAAAAAUUUAAAUUAAAUUCAAAAUUUUAAAAUCGAUACAAAGAAGGUAAGAACUACAUGUCUACGGUUGCGAAUAUACCUCAUAGGCGUAUUGUUAUUUUCCAUGCAUAUAACAAAAGCGAAUCCUAAUCCAUGAGGUCCAAAAAAUGUAAGAACUCUUAUUUGUCUGAAUAGCCCUCAUCAUGAUUAUAGAGAUGAUAGCUUUAAACAUGAUUUUUAUGAUAAAUCUCAUAAUUCGUGCAUAAGUUUUAUACUCAUUCACCCCCUCCCCCCUCCCUCUCUCUCAAAUUUUUAUUUAUUCUUACUAUUUAUUAAAAAUAAUAUGAAAAUAGUUUGUAUCUUUCGCAUCGAGCACAUUGAUAUGUAUGUGGUAUACAUAAUUUCUCCUCACGGGCACCAGAGAAGAGGCCACCAAUGUGUGAGGUUGUGAGAGAGUCUUUGAUGUAACUUUUCACCUUUAGAUAUAAUGUAUAUCUUUGCGUGAGGUCUUUGAUAUGAUCAACAUUCAAUUUGUGGGCAAUGAGUGCAAAUCGUCGCACUUUGUACAUAAUUGUUUUCUACAUUUUAGUUUUAGAAUAAAAUGUUGUUUGAGCUCGGAGGAAAAACACGAACCUGUGAUAAAAUUUUGUGUCAUAUUUGGCUUGGGUAAAACAAAGAAUAAGUAGGGGAGUAAUGAUGUGUUUUGAAAUGUAUCUCUUUGUUUCCUCCCUUCAUAUAUUUUAAGGUGAAAUCAUAUAAUUUCAUGUUUUUUCAUUUGUAAUUAAUUUUACAAGUAAAAAGUUCAAGAUGAUCCUCUAAUAGCAUUCAAAACUUUCACAAAGCUAAUAGAUCGAUGAGAAGUGUACCAUUUGGUUACCUAUGAGCACAUAUGUUAUUCAUGUGAGCCUAAAGAUAUAUUUUCUUUUUGUGUUUGUACUCUAUUAUUAUCAUGUAUAACUUCGACAUUUCUGAGAAAAAGGCCACUGAUCAGACUUUAAAGGCAUUCUGGUGACAACUGUGGAUGUAACUUUGGUCACUGGCCAAUAUUUAAACUAAAUAAUAAAGACGAAACCAUCCGAGAGGGACCAUAUCAUUGAUUUUGAAUACACUAGCCAAUAUCGGCUUUGAAGAAAGCAAUCAGCUUUGAAGAGAGGUUGUAAUAUUAUUGGAGAUGAAAGUUGCAAUGACAGACGGGUGGUGAUGAGGAAAACUCACUCUCCAUGUAAUAGAAUAUCAUUUGUCAAGUUAAAUUGUAUUUUAUUUGUGUGAGGAACUACUAAAAAUUUCUAAUUUAUUAAUAUUAAGUCAUAUUUAGCUUUUUUUAAAAUAAUAUAUCAAUAUAAUAUGAGUUUUUGUAGGCACUAAUGCUAGUUAAUAUACCAACUUUUUGACAUCCACUUUGGUAAAAGGUGCUACUCAUGAAGAAUCAUCCAAUGCAUCGCUAUUGGCAUUCAACUCAUGUUCAUUCUGAUCACUAGCACAUAAUUCUUCGACAUUAAUAUAUAGUUCUUCGACAUUAAUAUAUAACGAGGAAUUCUUCUCAACCUAAUUUUCAAGAAUUGUCUUCAAUUUUUGUUAAGCUUACUACUAGGUUACUUCACAAACUUCCAAUCCUUUUUAUCUUUGAUCAAAUAAUUAGUUAUUUAUACAUAAAUUAUAAUGAACGAUGUAACUUUCUAGUCACUCACAUGUAUACGUUAUACUAUUAAAAAAGAGAAACAUAUGGAGUAUAUUAUAUAUAUAUAUACGGCAGGGAAGGUCGGUAAACUAUGCUGGUUGAAAAAAAUCUUGUUAGCAUCAACAUGUUGCAAAAAUGAGUUUGAUAUAUUUUCAAAAUAAUUGUGAGUCAGAUGUGUGUUUCUUCUUAGAAUUGAUUGCCUGCGUCGAUGUCUUGCAGAAUGUAAGAUGAAGUAGUCAAAAAAAAUUAAGUUUCAAACAACCUCAAUCCAUAUAUGAAAACAGUCUUAUACUGUGUUCAAUUCGGAUGAAUUAAGUGGGGUGAAACGAGAAUGCCAACUUGUACGCUUUGUAUAUGUAUGGAUCAUGACCUAGUACCAUAACAGUCGGCUAUAUACUUCUAAGAAUCGGGAUUGUAACUCAGUUCCAUAACAGCCAGCUUUAUGCUCUCGAGAAUCAUGAUUUAUAAAGUAACACACCCCCAGACAGAGAAUCAGGAUUUAAGAAAUAACACACCUCACAAGGUCUCCGGCAGUUCCUGUAUUUUAUGACCGGUUUUUGAGCUGCAACCUCCCCUUAUUUUCAGGAUACAAAAUUCCAGAUAAUUAAAAGAAAUAUUCUCUCCAAAUUUGAUACGACACUAGAUAGUCAUGCGAAGACACUAAAUAAUCAACUUUUUCAGAAAUAAUUAAAUUCCAAAUCACUGUCUAAUUUAAUUAUCAGAAAUAGCAUCCUCUAAACCAUCCUUGUACAAGUACAACACUUGUAAGCUGUAAAACAAUGAAGCUACUAAAACACGGACUUCGAAGUUCAUUAAUCCUUCAAUUCUAUCCCACGGCAAGAUGACAAUAUUUGCCUCCGACUCCAGUAGGAUCAGCACAGGAAGAAAUACUGGGAAGAAAUACUGGUUUUGUAAGUAGACAGCAAAACUGAGUUGAUCAUUCAAUUUUCUGUUUUAUAAGCUGCAAAUGCUUUGCUAAAUCAUCCCUCAUGGUCUUUCCACGUGGAUCCACUUGCGGACAAGGUUGUUCGACAUACCCAGUGUCAUGAUGACCAGACAAUGGAACAUCUGGAAGCAAAGAGUCUCCACAGUCAAUAAUGAUAUUGUGUAGCAAACAACAAACCACAAUGAUACUGGGCAAUUUCUUUUUAUCAGGUCUCCACAAGACUGUGUUUAGGAUUUUCCAGCUGCCCUUUAAGUGUGAGAAUGCCUUCACUGCAAGAAACCUCGCAGCAUCAUGUAUGGCAGUAAACUCAUCCGUAGCUUCUGAGCGGUUGUCCUUUUCAUAAGGAGUUAUUAGCCAUGGAAGAAGGGGAUAGUGGGUUCCGCCUACAAUAAAUUCGCGAACUUCCACUCCUUCGGAGAGUCUUUUUGCAGUUCCAUUUAAACGCUGACUUACUUGACAGAGCUUAUAAAAUCCCGAGUACUUCAAUAACAGGGAGAUAGUUAAUCCUCCAGGCCAGCCCGUUACAAUAUCAAGAAAUCUCAACUCAUGGUCAACAAUUCCCUGGCAAAAUAUGCUGUAGUUUUGUACGCUAUCACGCCAAUCACCUGAAGUUUCAACAGCAGGAAGGGUCAUUACGAUAUGUGUCGCAUCGAUUGCUCCACAGCAGUUCGGCAAACCAAAAGAUGCCUCAAAAUUGGACUUGAUUUCAGCCAGCCUAAGGGAGCAAGGCCACUUGAGAUGGUGCUUUCCACGUCCUUCUAGCGCUUCAAUAAAUCUCCAAGUCACUUGAGAAACAGUUGACUGACCUACUCCAAAAGAAAUCCCAACAAUCACCUGUGAUUCACCAGAUGCCAGUCUUCUUAAAGCAAUAGCGACUUGUUUUUCUACACUUAAAAGCCUUCCUUCAAUGUUAAUCAGACCUGAAGGAGGUCUAGAAAUAAGAUCCUCUCUUACAAGAGAACAGAUGUACUGAAAAGUCUUCUUCGACAUACGGAAAAAAUACUUAAACCCUUCAUCCUCGUCGGCAGGUAUUACUAAACCUGCACAAUAAUUUUUUAACAAAUAUGCAACAUAUUAAUACAUAUCCAAAGGCGCAGGAUUCUAUCUACGAAACAAAAAAAAAAAAGUGAUCUUGACUGAGCCCUGUUCUCAGAUAUCAAUGUAAAGGCUCCCGAAUUUUGCAUAAAACAAUAUUACAAGUACGCAAAUAUAGAAAAAACUUGAAUAAACAUGAUCACAGUCUGCAAAACAGAACUAGUAAUUCAGCAGGGCAGCUCGUACUCGAUUGCCAGUGUAAUAAUGCUUGAUUGUUACAGUUGUAUAUAAGAAAGAUGAUAACUAUUAACAUUGUUUAGUAAAGGUCAAUUGAAGAACUUUAAACACUUCGCACAGGCCUUUAAGGCACAAAUUUCGCAGAAACAGACUCCGAGCUUCUGUAGUCCUACGAGGUAAGCUUCAUCAUACAUUUCCUUUAGUUAUAUACUUACACAAAUACCUCUAUUGAGUUCAUACACAAAUACGAUUACACUAAUGCUUAAACCCUAUAUACAUCGUUAUCAUCAUAAAGGGGUGUCCAUUACGCAAUAAAUGAACAAUACUAUAGAUCAAACUAAUAACUUCAUUACUCAAGGAAGCGUUUAAUCAAUACAAUUUUGAUAGACAAGCUCCCACCAAUAACUAAGAUAAUAAACUAAAAAUUUCAAUCAAAUCAGUUACAAUUGAAGAAAAUUACCUGGGGUUGAAGAGUUCUUUUCCCAGAAAACAUCCCACCAAUCAGAAUCAAUCAAUUUGGUGUCUACAGGAACAACUGUUCUUCCGCUAGCUGUGCUCUUCUUCGCCUUCUUUACAUCUUUCUUUGCUUUCUUGGGAGCCAUUGAGCUUAUAAGAUUAAAUUAUGUGACUUAUAAGCUGUUUUCGAAGAAAGGUUUAUGAGUUUGUAUGAUCUAGUGGAGUAGAACGGAGAAAAUGAGAAAAUAUAAGUUUUGGGAAGCUUGUUCGGACAAUUGAACCCCUUCUUAACCCGAUGUCUUCGGUUCUCCUCUUCUUAACCUGAGCUUCCCGUAACGGUAGUAAAACUUACGAUUUAUAUUUGUAUGAAUUAAAUUUCUAGACAAAAGAAAAUAUCAAACUUUAUGAUUUAUAUUUCUAUGAAUUAAAAGAUUUUUAUUGUUUAGUUCUGUAUUUUUUGUGUUUCUUAGGUCAGGAAGAAUUCUUUAUAAUUAAGUUCGUGAUUUCAUGUUUUUUAUGAUACGAAAUUAUCAUAUGAAUUUUAUAUACGUGUUUAUAGAUAUGUGAGAGAUAAAUCUAAAUCACAAAAAUAGAAAUUAUUAUAAAGUAUAAAUAUUUAAUAUUAAAAAAUAAAGGCGGAGUUAGUGUUAAUUCUGAAUAUUUAACCGUAAAUAUAAGAAGUAUGAAAAUCAGUCGAAUUAUCCGAAUUUUACCCGAUACAUGGUUACCCAUUUCAGAUUUUAUUUAAAAAUAGGAUCACAUAUUUUUUUAAUAAAUUCGGAUUCAUAUCAUAAUCAUUGUCUUAAUAACAACUUAGAUAUAAUAAUAAUGUAAUAUUUUUAAAACAUAACUAAUAAUUAUAUCCAACAUUAUCCAUUUUGAAAACAUAUCCAAUAUUAUCUAAAUAUAAUGUGUAACAUGAUUUGAAAAUUCAAUAUAAUAAAUAUUUAUAUUAUUUUAAUAAACCACUCUUUAUAAAAUAAUAUUCUCUUUCUUUACUUUGUCCAAAAAAAAUCUCUUCCUCUUCUUGCACAAAUAUAUGAUUAAAAAAAAUCUCCGUCACAAAAAAUCUCCAGUCUUCUUUCAUUGAUUUGCAGCACAUGAGUAUGUACACAUUGCAAUGCACAUACAUAUUUACCCAAAAAUAAGCUUGAUCAACAUUUUCUCACAAUAGAUCAUUGAGAUGCAUUACAUGAUUGAUUGCACAGAAAGCUUUUUCAGCUUCAAAUACAAUGUGUAACCAGACUUUGUUACCAUAUUCAAGUGACUAAGCAAAAUAUGUGGGUCGAAUCCUUCCUUGCACAUAAUCAUGGUUAGCAAAACUUAAUUACUUAUUUGAUCUUUUCUUAUACAAAUGAAGAUCAAUUUUUCUGAUUAUACAAGAUCAAUCACAUUGUUGAUCCAUGACUCUGAUUGAUGAGAAACAGAGUUAUGAAUCAUCAAGUUGCAUGCCUCAACAGCCUCUCCCACAGUUAAGAAGAACCACUCCUGCCCUACUUUCGCCAUCAACUUCGCGUUGUUCAGCUUCUUUAACACUUCCCCUCCUGGAUUAGCCAUCACCAGCUACACAAAUUUUUCAACAUUUCUCACAAUUUAGUAAUCGAACUAAGUUAAGAUUGCGUUUAGGAACAUAUAUUUCAUUUCAAAUGACAUAAUUUAAGUUGUCAUUUCAAAUUCUCAGCUUUUUACUAGUAUUUGAAUGUCCUGGAUUUGAUCAAAUUCAGGAUUUUAAAUGAAAUCCGAGUUCCCAAACAGGCCAUGAGAUGCUUGUUAAUCUACUAGUUUACCAGCAGGUUUGAAGGUGUGAGUAUAAGGGUCACUGUCAAAACUCUGUCUACCAGAAAGAUAUUAAUCUAGCAUUCAAGCUAUAAUGUGGCUGAACAGUGGGAUAUUAGUGGCUUAUUUAUACCUUAAUCCCUCGUCUAUCUAACGUAGAUUUGACCUCUUCAAGCAUGCUAGUGCCGCUUGUGUCAAUGUCUGCAAUCCCUGAAUAUAGAAAAAUGUUUCAUUGAUGCAAAAUUAAGACCAGGAAAAAAAAAAUUAGUACUCCACAUGAAGAUGUUUAAGCUUACUUACCACCCAUGUCGAGAAUAACAUAUUUCAACCUAGAUUUGUCAGAAGAAUUUUGCUUGUCUUCCUCCUCAUUAAUCCACCUCAAGAUCCUAAUUGAUCCGAUAUGAAUAAAACAACAGUGAGUGUCAGAGAAAGUCAUCAGCUGGUACAGACUACAGAGUAAGUGAAGUAAAAGUUUAGAAAUGAUGUACUGUAUACCUUUCUCUUAAGUAACUAGAAUUAACAAAAUAAAUGGGAGCAUCGAUUUUCAGUAUGAGAAUUCCGGAAACAUUAUCAGUAUUUGGGUACUGAUCAAUGCUUCGGUAAAUUUUGGAAUCUGGGAUGUUUCCAAGGACAAGUGUUCUUGGCCGAGUCAUGAACAACAGUAACCUUAGAACAGACAAAAGAACCUGCAUUUGAUUUCAACGUGCACAAAAUAUCGAUUAGAUGAAUCAUUUUGCGGCUAGAGGCCUAGAGUAUUAAUAUAGUGUCUGUAUUACAGCUUAUUCAUACCGCGAGGAUUAAACCAAUCUCAAUGCUACAAAAAACAACACCAAAGUAUGCAGUCAUGCAAACUAGGAAGUCGAAUUUAUCAAUGUCCCAGAGAUGAAGAGCUGCAGAAUACUCGAUGAGGCCUAGCAUUGCAGAGACGAUAAUAGACGAAAGAACAACAAUGGGGGUGUAAUGGAAGAGUGGUGUUAGGAACAAUAGUGUCAACAUUACUGCUAAUGCCAUAACAAUGUUUGAAACUGCACUCUUGCAUCCUGCAUUGAAGUUGACAGCUGUUCGCGAAAAUGGCCCUGCAAUUUUUACAGUGUAUCACGUAAUCUUGUUGCAAUAUGGAAGCAUAAUAGAAAAUGUAGAGAGGCUAUGUAUACAGGGGAAGGUAUAGUACCAGUUGUGAUGUAGCAAGAAGUGCAGGAACCGGCAAUAUUCAUUAUGCCAUAAGCAAUCAUCUCUUUGUUACCAUCAAUGUGGUAAUUGCUAAACAUGGAAAAGCUUCUUCCAACUGCAAUGCCUUCCUGUUUGUAUUAUCACAAUAAAUUUCGGGUCACAUAUAUUUUUGCCUCAUUUCAUUUGUUGCAGCGAAACAAGACUGGCUAAUGAAAAACAAUGCUUACAGCAAGAGCAACAACACCGGUGAUUAUCCCAGUUUUGAUGGCUGUUGGCAGAUAUUCAGACCGGAAUGCAAGAUCCAUUGCUGAUAGGGGGUUCAGUCCUUCCUUCAGCUUUCCUAUCUAUUUAAUUUAACGAAACCAUGACAAAUCAGCACACAUUUUAAAACAUCACUGUAGUCCAUAGAUAUUAUUGGUACAUGAAUGAUGCUGAAAAGGCUCACCACUUGUAUGCCAUGUUUCUCAGCAUGGGUGAAGUAUACAAGAAGACUUCCGAUGAUAACUGACAUCAAAGGAGCCACUGCAGACAUCCAAAAUAGCUUUGCUCGUUUCUUGCUCUGCAUUUUAAGCCAUUCCAGUAGUCAAUUAGACACCAACACAAAUGCGCGGAUAUGUAAUAUGUAUGUCACAAGUUAUCUUGCUUACACAGUAUCUAGCAACAAGGAGAUAAAACAGAAAAAUUCCACCUAGUACUGCACUUUCCCAUCUCCACUGCAAUAUGUUAACAGUGCAAUCUGUAAGUGCCUCAUGAAAUACACAUGCAAAAUAAUAUACUGCAGGCACACAUAUAUAGUAAAUUAUAAAAUGUACAUACUUCACAUCAUGAUACAAAAUGUAAUUUACCUGUUGCAUUUGGCUGAAGAUCGAACGCAUGACAGACACAAGAUCAGUGGACUGAGUGAAAUGUUUCAAGCCGAGAAUGCCCUUAAGUUGCUGCAAGCUCACAACUGUAGCUGCUCCUCCCAUGAAUCCAACUAUUGUUGCAUGCGAUAGAUAAUCCACUAUGAAUCCUAACCUUAAAAUUCCUAGAGACGCCUGAAACACGCCUGCAAAGAAAGUUGCUGUAAAAGCAAGGUGGAGAUAAAGAGUAGGAUUCUCAGUGGCAUUAACUUCCUUUCCCAACAUAGAAGCUGUCAUAAGCGAUGCCACGGCUAUUGUUCCAACUGCCAAAUCUCUUGAACUUCCCAUCACCGCGUAAAUCAGGGGAGGCACAAAACUUGAGUCUGCAUGAUAAUUUUGAUAUUUAUUACUCAACAGAUAGUUAAAUCAUAAAAUGUCACAAAUUAAAAACGCAAACACUAGCCAUAAAACUCACACAAGCCACUUAUGGGUGGCAAGUUGGCUAGUUUUGCAUAGCUAAUUCCCUGAGGAAUUGCUAGGCUAGCAAUAGUGAUUCCUGCAAUUAGAUCAGCCUUAAAGAAAUUUAAAGAGUAACGAGGAGCCCAUUCCAGAAUAGGAAAAACGUAUUGUAGUCCUAGUGCAAGUUUUCGAGGCUGUGGUUGAUUCUUAAAUUGGCGUAGAGGGUCAUCAGGAAGAAAAGUUUCCUUGAGAUCAUUUUUCAGCGACUCGAAAAAUGGCUGCGGUGCUGGUAUUGCUACAGCUGCAAAACACCUCGGUGUCUCCUGUUGAUCUAUGAUGUCUGCAUUACCCAUGUCCUACAAUUUUGAAACUCAAAUUAUUUUUUUAAAUUGAAGAAAAAAUGAGCAGAGAUCAGGGUGUUUGCAGUGAAUAAGAGCAUAAGAGCACGUUGCUUUAUAUAGGGGAAUAAAGAGCACCAAGUGCACUGCAAGAGCUGGCCUACAUAUAGAGGAAUAUGAGCUUACAUUUUAUCCUUUGUAAGUUGCAAGAAGAAACGGAGUAGAUUCGAAAGAUCUUUGAAUCGAUUGUUUGUUAGGACUUAGGAAUGGUAAUGUGGGAUCACUUCUUUUUGUACUGUUCUUGUAUCUUCUGCAGACUUGUGUAGAACUGUAGAUCUUCGAUUCAUUGGUAGCUGGUUAUAAAAAAAAAUUGUCACUGUAUCAAACUCACUGUUAUAUAUCUCUAUUCUAAAAGUCGGUGAUUAAUCACGAUUAGUCACCGAUUAAUCCCUGUUCCGUAGCUCGCCGAACUGAUUAAAUUUCCGAUUAAUCACUGAUUAAUCCAAUUAAUCCCUGGUCAAUUCAAUUAAUCACCGAUUAAUCCUUAUUCCGUGAUUUCACCGAUCGAUUAAAUCUGAUUCCUGCUUUUUACAAGAUUGUUAUAUAUUGGUAAUAAUCUCCAUGGACUCGUUGUAGUUACUAGAAUCAUUAUAUAUAUCACUGUUAAAUAUUAAAAAAUUAUCAACAGAAAACUUUAUAAAAUCCUAAUCAAUAGAUGAUUCGUGACUCAUCUGGAUUACAAAAACAAACCAGAACCAAAAAUUUAAAAGAAUUAUAACAGACCCAUCAUGUGUUUGUAAAUUUUUUUUCAAGAUUUAACAGGAUUGAAUAAGUCUCAUGAUUUGAUAAUUUUUCACGAGAAUUUGAUAUAAUACCGUCCCUUUUCUGCACUCAAGCUCAGCUUCACACCUCUAAUGCCCGCCGAAAAAACAGGAACAAACUUAGCAAAUUUUGCAUACGGAAGCUUUGUUUACUUAAAUUUCCAUCCGGAUGUCUAGGGAGACUCUGAUUGACCCAGUCAGAAGACUCAGAACUCAUAUUUUAAUUUUCGAAACUAAAAAAUCGCAUUCUUUGAGAUUUGAAAUUCGAGUAUCACAAAUUGCAUUCGAACUGUCGGAACGGGCGAUGAGUAGAGCCGCGGAGGUGCCUCAACAGACAAAGUUGAAGCAUGAUGAAAUACUUCUCUUUGCGGACGAAAGCUAUAGCUUUUGAACCAAUGAUCUUUGCUUUUGUCGUCACUAAUAAUGACUAGAUUGUUGAAUUAAUAAUGAUACAACUUUCUGCAACAAUCCAACUUGUUUCAUUCUUGAAUGGUUUGAUAAAAUGACAAUUUUACAUGAUUUAUUAACUGCGGAACUUCAUUAUUAAAUGAAGAAAGAAAAUGUGAAGCGGAUAACUUUUCUCUUCAUGUUACUUAUAAAAGAGAUUAUCACAUUGUGAUGGGUAUAGAAUAUUAGAAUUUAUGGACAAAAACUUAAAAUAUUACUCCUCGAGCUGUAUCAUAUUAUUAUAUUUCAAAAUGUAUUUUUGUAAACAGAUCAGUCGAGCCUCCUGGAAACGGUGUAACAAUUUCAACAACUUUAUGCAUGCAUAUAGGGAACUUUACAAGUGUAUAUAACUUGUUCCUUUCCAAGGGAACGUGUCUUACUAACAAUAACAUACACCUUUCAAGUCCAAAUAGGAGAAUCACACUUUGGAUUGAAAUUUGUUCGGUACACCUUCCGAGUUCCGAUAGAAGCAGGUAUUUGUUAGUAAUAUAUCUUGAUUCGACUAGUUUUCAAACGAAAAAUAAAUCAAGUUUUUGGAUUGAACAUUGAUUUUGAAGUAAUGACACAAGAGAAAAAUGAAAUAAAAAUAUGAUUAAAAAAAGUGAAAUGGGCAUUAUUUUCAAAUUAUUCAAAUCAAAUUAAUAGUUCAAAUAUUUAAAAUAAAUCAGGGAAGAAAUAAAAAUAUUAACUCUAAUUAUUCCGAUUUUAUCUAUAAAUUUCAUUCUAUUCCACUAAUAUUUCAUUCAAUCCAAACAAACACCAACUCAAUUUCAAUUACCAUCGCAUUCUAUCCGAACAACGGCAACCCAAUUUCAAAUACCAUUGAUCCCCUUUCCCCAGAAGUAGAAUAUGCAACCUUCUCCGGUUGAAAGCAUUCCCAGAAGAAACUUGCACUUUGAUCAUUACUGUUUAUCAACGAUGACAUAAUUCAAGAAUUUCCGGCCCCACCUUCUAUUAAAAGAGAAGAAGAAGAAUGAAUUCCGGCCCCACCCUGGAAUAUUUUCGGCUGUACCUCAUUUGAAGAUUUAUUUAGUAAAUAGCCCGCUCAGCUAAUUUUAGUUCCAACAUACUACUCCAUCACUUUAGGCACGUUUAUAUUAAAUUCUUUUAAAUGGGUUAAUUAAAAGUAGGUACCCUUUAAACACAGAUCAGAAUUUCUGAUUAAAUAUGAAAAAAAAGAGUAAUUAUAUUGGUAUGGAAGGAGUAUAGCGUCACAUAGACUAAAAGAUUGUAGUAUAAUAAAAACGUUUUGAACGAUGACGAUUUAUUAUUAUAAAUUACAAAGUUAGACCUACUCCAGCAUCUUCUAACUGCACAAUUGUCAUGGAACAUAAAUCUGAAUGCAUAGGAUAACUUUCUGCACUCUGCACACUCAACCCAAUUCUAUACUCAUAGUCAAUCUUAAGAAAUUGGAAGGUACAUACAAUUACAAUUUAAUAAUUAAUCGCAUGCACAUUAUUGUAUCAAAAAAAUACGGGGCUCGUUAUUAGAGAAUGGACUAAGUCCAUUAUAAUUUAUAGCCACUCUUGACUUGCAUAAUUAUUUAUAAAUAAAAUACUUACAUUUGAAAAAAUAUAUUAGUAUUCUUAAAAAAAUAAGUUAAUUUUUUUUUUAAACUAAAAAAAUUAGUGACUUGAUAGUAGAAAGAAUAAAUAUUAGAUUUAUGUCAGAAUACUUAAUAUUAUGAAGUAAUAUAUGAAUACAAACUUUAUAAAUUUUUAUAUGAAACACCAUAUUUUGUUACAAAGUUCUUGAUAUAGAAACAACUGAUUUAAUUAGGUGAUUAUGUCUACACAGUUUGUCAUUAUUAUUGGCGUGAUGUCAAAUUUGAAACAAAAAUUUGGAAACAAUUUUUAAGUAUUUUCUUUUUAUUUCUUACAAAAAAAAUAUCUCCAAACAUGCAGAUUUAUAACUAGUGCUACGACUUACGAUUAUGAAAUUAAGAGGUGUAUAUACAUAUUCUAUGAAUUUUAAUAAAUUAUAUUUGAUUUUGAUUUUAUGCUAUAUAAAAUGUUGCAGAGUUGACAUGAAUUUUUAGAAUCUAAGCACAAAAUUUUAUGAAUUUUGAUGGAAUUUUAAAUAUUUUGAAAUACACCGAACAAUCUCACAAAAUUCAUCAUUCAUAUUUUAAUGUUUUACAUAAUAUCAACUGAAUAUUAUAUGAUAAUUAAGAAUAAUUAAAAAUUCUGAUUAUAUACCACCAAAUUUAUAAUAUAAUUUAAAAUCCUAAUUAAAUACACUAAAAUUCUUAUACAUUUGUCAAAAUUCGAAUUAAAUAUUUUCGAAUUUAAUAUUCUAAAUUAAGGUCAAUGCUGAGUUAGAAUUAUGAGCCGGAUCAAAUUAUUUUUAAAAUUUAAAGAAAUUGUAAUUAAUCUUGCUAAUUCUCGUUUCAAAAAAAUUAAAUUAUAUAUUUUGUUUAUAAUACAUCUUAUAGUAAUUUUACAAUACAAGAUUUUAUAUAUUAUUAAUAAUUUUAUCUGAACUCAAAAUUUAUUUUAAUUUAUAAAUAACUUCCUAAAUUUAUUUAAGUUGCAAUUUUCGUAACUCAGGCUUCCAGUGUUUUGAAGUUUGAAUACACGCCCGCUUCAAACUUUAAAUUUUUUCUCUCCGCCUUGCUUUCACUUUGUCUCUAUUCUAUUCUUCUUCUCUACUCACUUCUCUGCACACGCUUCAGGCUCUCUUCAAAUAAACGCUGAGUUUUUUCACACACAAACAUAAGUUUCUUGAGAACCCAUGUUGUCACUCAGUGGGACCUCCAUUCUUGCUUCUACUUUCACUCCCCCUGAUUUUGGUACUUAUAUUUAUCCCUUUUAGCAUUUCUAUUUAUUUCCAUGGCAAUUUCACUGUUUUUGUACUUGGGUUUGGUUUUCUAUGUAAAAUCUGUGUGCUUUAUUUGAUGUUCUUGUCUCUUCUUUCCAGGACUUGAGUGAUUAACGCACUAAUUUCACCCCUGCUGCAAUUUUUCUUCUAAAGGGGAUUUUUUUUAAUCUUUUUAAUUGAAUUUCUUGUAUUAACUUACGGAGUUAUUUCCAAGACACUUUGAUGUUCUGGAUGAAAUUGUUUCUUUAUGAUUACUAAAAUUUUAACGCGGGCUGUUUUUGUGGGAUGGGGGUAUAUAUGUUUCGAUUAUGUUAUGCAAUUGUGAUGAAUUAGGAAAGUUUGGUCAUUGAUUUCAGUUUUUAACAAUGCGGCGAUAUUUUAUAUAUGUUUCUGUAUGGUGUAGAGUUUGUAUUGACGAAUCUUGUAACCUGCCUAUUGUUUUCAUUCAUUAGCCCUUUUAGCCCCAGGAUGUUGUAGAGGCAUUUUCAUGUUCAGGAUAUGACCUUGUGUUAUAUGAUACAACAAUAGAGUUGAAGUUGAUGCCUCCGCUAAACUUCGUAGUUUGAUAGUUCAGCAGUCUUAGAUUAUGUAACAAAAUUUUAACUCGGUGACCUAAUGGUGUGUAGGAAGUUUUUGAGUCUAGUAGUCUGCACACUGGAACGUGUAUUUGAAGAGGAAAUCAGAUUCACAAUACAGAAGUACAUGCAAUGGAAAAAUAUGAAAUACUUGAGCAGAUUGGCAAAGGGUCGUUCGCAUCUGCUCUACUUGUGAGGCAUAGACAAGAGAACAAAAAGUGAGUAUGCUUUAAUAAUUGUUAACUGAUGCUGCCAGUCUUUAUCCUUCAUAACAUUUGAAGAUGUUUUUAAUUUUUACUAGUUCAACAAUCAGAUUCUUUUCUUUUUUUUCUUCAAAGGUAUGUGCUCAAGAAAAUUCGCCUUGCUCGCCAAACAGUUAGGACACGCAGAUCUGCACUCCAGGAGGUCAGUAUUUCAGUCUUUUGGUUUCAGUUUUCUGUUUAUGUACAUUGUACACACAAUUCAUAACUAAAACUUAGCUUGUUACGAUAUAUGUGCUUGGUUGAUGAAGUAAUUUUGAAUCAUAAUUUGGUUCUGUCUAUGGAAUAAAGUUACCGUCAUCUGGGGUAAUUGUGUAUUAGUGCACCAGAAUGAUAGCAUUUGUGCGUCAUUCGCGCCAUGACAUAUAGAUUGAGUCACAGCCCUUGGUAUAUGUAUAAAGUUAAUCGGCAUGGUUCAAAUUUAUUCUUAUUGAAACACAAUUUUCUAUUGCUUUUUGUUCUGGGCAGAUGGAACUUAUUUCAAAAGUGCAACAUCCAUAUAUCGUGGAAUACAAAGACUCCUGGGUGGAAAAGGUUAGACAAUUUCCAAGAUGAUCAUAUUUUCAAAAAGUGGUAUUUGUGAAUGGGUUCUGGUAGUUUAAUUGGUCUAUUAUAUUUCUUUCAUCUCUUCGCCCUCUUCAUUUUGGCACAGUCCUGGGUUAUAAUAUUAGGCCUUUGACAACUUCAUUCUGUCAUAUGCAGAAUUGCUUUGUUUGCAUUGUUAUAGCAUACUGUGAAGGAGGAGACAUGUAAGUUAUGUUCAGUCACAUGUUAAAUAAUGACGCAGCAUGUUAUCUGUUUCAUAUUUGAACUUAAUUGUUACUUAGGGCGGAUGCUAUUAAAAGAACAAAUGGUGUUUAUUUCACUGAAGAGGUAAUAUAACAUGCCUAACCUUUUUUUUUUCAUGUUUGUAGUUGAUAUAUAUUUACAAUGAUUCAGUUGUGCAUAACAAAUGUUGAACAACUUUCAGAAACUCUGCAAGUGGCUUAUUCAGCUUCUUAUGGCACUCGAUUACUUGCACAGGAAUCACAUCCUUCAUCGUGAUGUCAAGGUCACUGAAAUCUCCUACCACAUUGUCAAAAUUCCCAAGCACGCUUAUUUUAUAUUAUUACUAAUAACUAAUGUGUUUCUGAUACUGGUUCUUAUUUGGUUCAGUGUUCAAAUAUUUUUCUGAAGAAAAAUCAAGACAUUCGCUUAGGUACAUGACAAACCGGCUUAUGCUUGUUGCCUGAGAUGCCUCAGUAACUUCUUUUAAAUAGUUUAUCUACUCGUUGCCUAUAUUUAAAUGUAUUCUGAGGUGAUGUUAUUAUUUGUAGGUGAUUUUGGCCUUGCUAAGAUGUUGACUUCUGAUGACCUUGCAUGCUCUGUGAGUAUCAUAGCUACAUCAUGUUAGAUUCUUACAUAUUUCUUAAUCUGCAGUUCUCCUUAUAGUUACCAUGUGUAGGUUGUGGGAACUCCUAGUUACAUGUGCCCUGAACUUCUUGCUGAUAUACCUUAUGGUUCAAAGUCAGAUAUCUGGUCUCUUGGUAAAUACUGGGACUUCAUCCAACUAACAGCGAUAUCAUUAAGUUUUAUCUCUUUCUUUUUGUGUGUAUUUCAUACUUAAAUAUGUGUGAUACUUUUCACCAGGAUGUUGCAUGUAUGAAAUGGCUGCCCAUAAACCUGCCUUCAAAGCUUUUGUAAGCUACUAAUCACAAUUUUGUAAUUGUUUGCUCACUGUUGUUACUUUCUUACUGAUCAUCACUGCUUCUGUGGUCUUGCACUGAGAUCUGAGUAUUACCAAGGGGAAAGAGGUUAUCNNNNNNNNNNNNNGGAAAGAGUUUAUCAUUUCAUAUAUAUACACUGAUCUAGUGAUUGCUACAUUCCACUCUGAUUUCCCUAUACAAUGCAUCAAUUGUGGACUUCAAGCCUGUUUAGCUUUAAAGUUCAAAGUUUAAACACAGUAAAAUUUUGGGUUCAAAAUUCAGUCCACUACUCUACUUAAGGCUGCUAUAUUAGAUUUUUCCAUUUUUACAAGAUUCAGAUCUUAUCAUAUACUAUAGACUGUAAUUUGGGUGUCUUCUUUUAAUAGGAUAUGCAAUCUCUGAUCAACAAGAUAAACAAGUCUAUAGUAGCUCCACUGCCGGUCAUGUAUUCUGGUGCAUUGUAAGUUACCUCCGUCAACAAAAUCUGGAGUAUAUUUAUAGCCAUUCAUUAAUAACUACGUUUUCUAGCUAUUGUCUAUAUUGUUACUGAUCUACCUUUCAAACUUACUUGCAGUCGAGGACUUGUCAAGAGCAUGCUGAGGAAAAACCCGGAACUUAGACCAAGUGUAUGUAGUAUGCUUAUGUUUUCUACUUUUUGCAACAUAUAACAAGCACGUAUAAUAUUAAAAGAUCUCAUCAGGUACUAUUUGUCGAUUGUCAGCUUCCAUAAUUAUAAUCCAGUUUGCCCUUUUGCCAAUCUAUUAGGAAUGUUAUAUUUCAGUAACUAUAUUGUAUUAAAAUGUGAGCUGUAAAUUCUAUUUAAGACUUUAGUUACCACAAAGUAAGGCAUGUCUGCAGCUUUGUGCCUAGUUAAUAGUUUGAGUUCUUGCAUUGAGAAGUAUUGUAAAGAGUUAGAACCUCUGAUAAAUAUUUCAUGCAGGACUUAAAUAUUCUACACUUGUGCUAGGAAAUUUGUAAGACAUGAAUUGCAUGUUUCCACUGUCUUUGCAUUUAAUUUCUGGCUUUGUUCCACAGGCUGCAGACUUGCUCAGCCUCCCAUAUCUCCAGCCCUAUGUCUUCAACAUGCAUCUAAAUUCAAACAGUCCUAGAAGGCAUACUUUCCCCGCUCAGCAAUUUGUUACCAGUUAUAUAAAGCAAACAAGAUAUGCUGAGCCUGAAGUUGUGACCAUGGGUUCUGAUAAACAGAAAAGGCAAUCAUUUGCAAAUGAUAGGGCUUUAAAUCCUGGUGUAUCUGAGUUGGAGCUGGAUUCCUUGUGUUAUUCUGAAGUUGCGGGUGAUUCUCGAAGAUUUAAUAGAAAAUUGUCCAUUGGCAGUAGAGGUGAAGAGAACAUUAUGGACAAGACAGUUGGUACAAAGUCAUUAAGUUCUGUCAAAUCCCCAAUUUUUACACCAGCAAAAGCUUCUACUACUCCAAGAAGACAGACUACUCCCAAGAUAUAUACGACCAUCAGGUCAACUACAGACCGUGAUUUGGUAAGUUUACUGUAGCCUGUUAUAGUUAGAAAUAAGUAUUCUUCUUCAUAGAUGGCCUGAGCCUAAAUUUAUCUUAAACAUCAAUACUGCCAAGUCAAGAUUAUGGCAGCUAGAAACUUAUGCUUUAGUUGCUUAUCAAUGCAGCGCCAAAAGUGGCAUACGCCAUCUAGUAAACCUAUGCAAUCAACUCGCAGAGCAUCUCUUCCAUUGCCAGCAAAAAACACAUUAAAAACACCUUACAAAGCCAGCACCGGACUCCUACAUGAUGUAGCAUCUCCUGAUGUGUCAGUCAAUGCUCCAAGAAUGGCCAAGAUGACAGAAUUCCCGUUGGACUCCUCUAAAGACCUUUCCUUCCCCGUUCCAAAAACUUCAUCAACAUCAGCUCAGUGUUCUACAUCACCAAGCUGUGACAAUAAUUCAAUCACAAAGGACAAAUGCACAGUCCAUGUUCUUGACAAAAGUCGCAGAACAGUCACUAGAUCAUACAUACCAAGUGUUGACUUUACAGCUCUGAGAACAAGAAGUGAGUGCUCGGAGAACAAACCAACAACUUUCAUCUCAAGCCAGCCAUCUUCAGAAUCAGGUUCCCAGCAACACAGGUUCGACACUUCGUCGUACCAGCAACGAGCAGAGGCCCUUGAAGGGCUGCUCGAGUUCAGUGCAAAGCUCAUGCAGCAGAAUCGGUUUCAAGAGCUGUCUGUGCUGUUAAAGCCAUUUGGGCCUGAGAAGGUUUCUCCUAGAGAAACUGCUAUAUGGUUGACAAAGAGCUUCAAGGAGACUGUUGUGUAGCAACAAAUCUCUAAAACCAUCUCAUAAUUAACGGUUGUACAAUUUAUAAUUUACAAUUUACUAGUUUAUCAUCCUCAAGCAUGUUAGUUGUUAAGUGAAGAUUUAUGUUGAGGAUUGGUAUCUCACCUCUCCUUUAAGAAUGAUAGCAGAGGAGACUAGGUGCAUAUAUGUGUUACUAGUCUCAACUUAAUGUAUGUUUCUUUUAAAUCGUUGCCCAUUCUUAAUUUCUUAGGAUGCAUGCAUUUGCCUUCAAUACUUGUCAAGAUUUUCUUCUAAUUGUUGAGAUUUUCUAGUGAAAUGAAACCCAUUCUUUCGAUAUUGAUUUCGCUAAACUGGUUAACAUAAGAUUUCUUGUCACAAAAAAACAAAUGAUAAUAAUUCAUGACUUAUUUUUCAGCACCUAAACUCAAGUACAUUCAAAUACAAAAAUGAAAUCAUUGAAGAAUAUGAUGGGCAAAAACAUGUGCGGUGAACGUGGAUCGAACACGUGACCUUCAGAUCUUCAGUCUGACGCUCUCCCAACUGAGCUAUCCCCGCUUGAUGACUUCAAGAAGUCGAAAUGAUUAAUCACCCACAGUGCGAAAUAGACUAAUAUAAUGACUGAGACAUGAAUUCAUUAUGAAUUCAUUGGUUUAUAAUCUUCUGUAACUGAGAUAAAUAAGGUAAUAAUCUGGAAAUUAUAAUCUCUCCGGACAAAAUGAUAGGUGAAUAAAUUGUUUUAUUUGUAAUGUUCAGUUUCUAUCAACCAUAACCAAAAAGAAAAAUAGUAAGUUGAUUUUCCUUUUAAUGUUCUUAAUAGAGCGGGUACAUAUUUAUCUAUAAAUACCUAACAGAUGUUGUAUUGGAGGUUUGCAAGAACAUGCUAGCAUGGCCUGGAAGGCACUUGUUGGAGAUUAUGAGAUGUGGACUCAAGGUGUCUCAAGGCUUCUUUCGAUUGCAUCCCAAGCGAAAAUUAAAAUGGAUGCAGGAGUUGAUCUAAAAAGCUGUUCUGAAGACUUGAACCACUAAGCAGUAUGCAAGUGUCUAUAAACUUUGUUAAUCUGAGGUCUGCUUGUUUCACGAACUCUUUUAGAAUUUAAUAAAUUACUUGGGGUGUUUUUUCCUAAUUCGACGAACUCUAGUGCAUUUUACCUUGGACAAGACUUCAAACUCAAUGAGCAUUCAUAUUUGAACUAGUGAGAGGAUCUCAGGGGAGAGAUCGAAUUGUUGGCAAAAUACAGAUCUGUUUCUAAAAUGCUCGUAACAACUAAAGACUUUGCCGCUUCAAGACUGGGCCAUGAUUGAUUUGUAAUGUUUCAUGGGCUUCACAAACUACAGAUUUGUAAACAAAAAAGGACCCAACAUCUAAAAGUUUAAAAUCCAUAACCAAUUCUCCAGCAUACUAGAGCCGUAUGUGAAAAAAAAAUUAGUGAGGCCCAUAAAUAAUUCUUCUUGCUUUUUGGUGUAUAAAAAGUUCAGUCAAAUUUUUGUAAUCUAAGUUCGGCUGUCAUCUUCUUCUUUAUAGAUAACAUAGCCAAACCAUCGAACCUCUCUUGUGACAUAGUUGAUCAAAGAUAAAAAAAAAAAAUUCCAACUUCAACUUGAAAACAGAAUUUGAAAUACAUAACAUUAUUCUAGUAAAAUUUCGUCGAAUAACUUUAUUUCAGAAAUCUGGAUUGAAAUUUAAUGAACCAAAAUAAUUAGAUGGUGGCUCCUUUCUAACCCAUGUACAGCCCAAAUGAAGCUGUACAUCCUCCACAGUACUUUAUUAUUUGAAAUGGAGUCUGGACAUUCGUUCUGAAAGCUGGGGGAAACAAUGUGGCCGUUUGGUCAAAUUUAAAAAAAGUGAUUUUGUGCUUAAAGUAAAGAAGUUGAUUAAAAGUGAGAAGUAAUAAGUUAAUAAAAUAUUUGAAAAAUAAGGAAAAGCUCUGAGAGAAAAACUAGCAUUCUCAACUUUUUAAAAUUGAAUCUACUUAUUUACAUAAACGAGUAAAAAAAGUAGAAGUAAGAAGCUAACUCCUGCUUCUUCAGUUACAAACAGGCCAAAUAAGUGUAAGAAGAUCAAGGUGUAGUUUGGCUAUGUCUUGUCAAUGGGAAUCUCGCGAUGGGAUAAUCCUUUUAGCUUGGUACAUAGCUUUCCCUCAGCGUAUUUAAAAUAUAUUAAAUAAAAAUCCUAGUAAGCUUUCCGAUUUAGAUACAACCCAAUUCGGAAAGUUGCAUGUCUACUCAAGAAUCCAUUAAUAUGAUGGACAAUAAGAUACCACACUUACUGGAUAGCAAAUUAAACAGGAUUAUACUCUUCAUCAUUGUCAUAUUCAUAACUCAAAAGUAAUUAACUGGCAUUUAUUCUUCUGACAGAAUUAUAAAGUGUUAAGAUAAAUUAAUUAAAUUAUAACCAUUCAUUUUCAUUUCUUUAAAUAAAAUACAAAAUCUUUAGAUAAACUUAAAAAUGUAUAUUUCUAUAUUCCAAAAACGUAAGAAAAAAGGUUAAAAAGGUUAAAUCAACAACGCUUAUAUUCUGUGCGAAUAUAUAACGCUAAGAAGAAUAAUUUUCUAUGAAUUCCCGACAAGAUUAUUCAUAGCAACUGUAAAGAACACAAUAAAGAGAAUACAAAAUGUAAUUGAGAGGCAGAAAUAUUGGCACAUAUGGAAGUAUACAAGCCACGAAGUGGUGUAAACCCUAGCUCCUCUUGUUAUUCCUUUGUACGGAAUGCGCGUUGUGAGUUGUGACCAGUGACAUUUCAUGUUUGCAUCUUUACAAAUUCUAGCAGAGCAAGUCUCGACAAACAUAAAGCCUCGUUGCAAAUUGCAUGCAAAGUAGCCGAACAUAUUUUUACGACCGUUCUACUUUCUAUGUGAAAAGUGCAGGACCAGAAAAAAGUUAAAUGUCAAGUGUUCUACGUGUUCACAGUUACUAUGAACAAAAAAAGUGUUCCGCAUAAUUUUUUACAUAUAUGUAUAAAAAUCGAGUACUAAAUUCUGAAUUAUGUUACGGUUAUUAAUUCAAAUUUCAUAUUUGAUAGAAUAUGUAUUAAUUUUCCUUUUUUUAACAAUUCUAUGUGUCAUGUGGAACAACUUUCACACACCAACUAAUUCGGAGAACUGCUAUCACACUCAUACUCACCAAGCAUGACGCACACUCGUACUCACCAAGCAUGACAGUCCUCUGACUUCUGUUUGGGAUGGUAAACAUAUCUCUUCUCUUUGCACCAUAAUGAGUAUAUAUCAUUUGUUUUUCAAAUCGAAACAACUUUCGACAUCUGUCAAAUUACUUCUAGGAGACAUUUCAAGAUAUCUUCCUGUAAUACAUACUACAUGUCGAAUAAUCUAAAUAAACAGGUAUAAGUGCAGGAUAGGAAUGGCCAUAAAAGCAAAACCAUAGGCACCGCUGGUCGCAUUGCCGUGGGGCACAGGUUUGGACCAGAACAAACAACUGGUACAAAGAAACAAAAGUGCCUGGAUCAAGCCAAUGAGUACACGACGUGUCCUCUUAGCCAAUAGGCCACGUGGUUGAACCUCAUUUGUGAUGCUGAUAUAUUAGCUUUCUUUCAUCCAUUCUUAUUUGUGGGAAAGAAAAGAAAAGGAUGGAGAGGAAUUAUUAUUCACAUAUUCUUUUUUUCUUUUCUUGUAUUGUCCAUCAAAUUAUCCAAUCAAUGUAGCAUUAAUGGAAAGAUGAGAUCUUUCCUUACCCAGAUGAGAUGAGAAUGAUAAAGUUUAAUAAAGCUAGCACACUCUUGUUGGGCUCGAAUAUUUCUUCUCUCUUUGAUCCCACACCUUCCUUUUCCUUUCUAGAAUUUAUAUAAAAAAAUAUUCUCUAAAAUUGUGAUAUUUUUUUAACUUAAUUAAUAUCACCAAAACUUGCAUGUUUAUGAGUUCUGACCCUUAAAUACCAUGAAAGAAUAUAUAUUAGCUUCAUACUGUUUUCCUCACACAGCUACUAGCCUACUACCCAAUAUAUUUAAGACAAAAAGGUUUUCGAACAUUUUUAUAUCAAAAACCUUUUAAUAAAUGAUCGUCAGUUUAGUAUGUAAAUAGUGUCUAAUUGAUUUCAUAAUCAUAUACUUUCGUAAUCAUACACGGGACGCGACACGCAUUUUAAAACUAUUAUAAAUUUAUAAUUUUAUAACUUACUUUUUUAAAAAGAAUUAAUAUAAAUUUAAAUAUAAUUUUUUUAUUUAGAAAAGAAACUCUUGAAAAUAAAUUAUUAAACUAUAUUUUAUAAGGAGAUUAAAGUGCGUGCUGAAUAGUGAACGUAUACAAUUAAAUGGAACAGAGAGUAUACUUGUUCGUUUCAUAAUAAUAUAAAUUUUCAACAAAUUUAAAAAAUUCAUAGAAAAUGAAUUAUUUCAUAAUACCAAAAUCAAAUAACUCUUAUAAUAGAAAAGCACAUGUAUGCAAAUUAUUAAAAUAAAGGACAGAAAAGCUUUGGUGUAACCCGUUGGCAAAUGUGUACAAAAAUAUUUGGAUAUAUAACAAAUUGUCAAUUAAGGACUUUUAAUGAACUUCAUUUUCAACUAAAAAAACCGUGAAUUUGUUACACAUAUAUAUAUAUACAUAUACAUAUAUAUAUAUAUAUAUAUAUAUAUAUAUAUAUAAUAAUAAUAAUAAUNNNNNNNNNNNNNNNNNNACGAAGUUAUACAAUNNNNNNNNNNNNNNNNNNNNNNNNNNNNNNNNNNNNNNNNNNNNNNNNNNNNNNNNNNNNNNNNNNNNNNNNNNNNNNNNNNNNNNNNNNNNNNNNNNNNNNNNNNNNNNNNNNNNNNNNNNNNNNNNNNNNNNNNNNNNNNNNNNNNNNNNNNNNNNNNNNNNNNNNNNNNNNNNNNNNNNNNNNNNNNNNNNNNNNNNNNNNNNNNNNNNNNNNNNNNNNNNNNNNNNNNNNNNNNNNNNNNNNNNNNNNNNNNNNNNNNNNNNNNNNNNNNNNNNNNNNNNNNNNNNNNNNNNNNNNNNNNNNNNNNNNNNNNNNNNNNNNNNNNNNNNNNNNNNNNNNNNNNNNNNNNNNNNNNNNNNNNNNNNNNNNNNNNNNNNNNNNNNNNNNNNNNNNNNNNNNNNNNNNNNNNNNNNNNNNNNNNNNNNNNNNNNNNNNNNNNNNNUAUAUAUAUAUAUAUAUAUAUAUAUAUAUAUAUAUAUAUAUAUAUAUAUAUAUAUAUAAAACCUUAUCAUCAAAAAAUCAACAAUACAAACAUUUGAAGUUUAUUUUUACUUAAUUAAAAAAACAGUAGUCAACAUAUUCCAAGAAGGAAAAAGAAGAGUCCAAACACAAAUGCAACUCACUGCAAGGACCAUUAUUGCGCCUUUUAUGUUUUAUACUCCCUCCGUCCCCUUUUACAGGCCCAUUUUGAUUUUUGACCAAUCAAAUUGAUUUUAUUUUGACUGAACUUUACAUGUAUCAGAUAAUUGAGAAAAAUAAUAAAAAUUAUAUCGAUAAAAAGUAUAUUUAGUGUAUUUUAAUAUGCAACUUUCAGAUUUUAAAAAUAAUGAGUAGAUAAUUUGUAAUGUUUAGUCAAAAAUUGGUCAAUUUGACUUCUCGAAAUGCAAAAUAGACAUGUAAAAUGAGACGGGGGGAGUACUUAUUUAUUGUUCUUCCUUGUUCUUUUCAUUUUUGUUUUGGUGGAUGGACUAUGGCAAUUUUGAGUUAUGUCACAUCCUCAUUACCUUUGGAGUAGUUGGCCAUAAACUUUUAUUCUACUAGAUAUAUAUGACAUAUGAAAGAAUAAGUAUACCGGUGGAAGUUGUGUUUUUCAUUGGUAACAAAUUUUAGGUAGCAAUAAAUAAUCUAAGGAAAUUUUAUUAUACCGAUAUUUCUUUGAGUAGAAGAUUUUUUUCCAGAUAUUAAAAUGGUAGGAGUAUUACAGAAAACAUUUCAAAUUAAAUAGAAAAAUAGAAAUGUGGGUAAAAUGUGGAUAAACCAAAUACUACUACAAAAUGCAGAAAGUCUUGACCAAUUAGGAAUAGUAACGUCAAAUGAUGCAGAUGAACUUGUGAAGAUAAAAAAGCAGUUUGUACAUGUGAGCUGACAUGCAUGAUGCAUCACAGCUAGGCUAGCCAGCAAUAUCAUCGUUUCUGGGGAAUUGUAUAGAUACUUUCUGUUCAUAAUCAGUUUUCGUAUACUCGUAUAUAAUAAGUCUGUCAUGGACUCAAGUACUUUGGGGGUAUACCCCUGUGUUAGUGUACACCCCUAAAUGCCUAAAUAUAUGGACAUUUGACUUCUUUUGAUGAUGGUUUAACAAUUAAGGUAGCAAAGUUGGGAAUCAUAACCAAAGCCUCUGCAUUAGUCAUGACUAAUUAGUGAUUAAGAGCAUCUCCAAGAGCCUCCUUGUUGGCUCCUAAAUAUAAUAUAAAAAAUGUGGCUCUUAGUAAUUUAGGACAAAGUUAAGAGUGUAAACUCCAACAAUACUCUCUACAUCUCUUCUCUAUUUCAUAUUUUAUUUAUAUAUUGGGCUCCACUAUAACAAAAGAGAGGAAAAGAUGGAGGUGAAUUGGAGGGAAGGAUUUUUUUAUUGUGAAAAAAUAAGUUAGGAGUCAUGUGAUGGCUCUUAACUUUGAAGAGAGGAGAAAGAAACAAGAGGCUCUUAGUGAUUUAAGAGCCACUUAAGAGCAACUCCAAGGGGCUCUCUAAACAAGCUCCUAAGUCUAAAUUUUAGGAGCAAAUCAAAUUUUAGUGCUCCAAUGGGCUCCUAGAUGCUCUUUAAAAAUUUAAGAGCUUACUCUCUCUCCUUUCUUUUAAAGAGUAUCUAGUAGCUCCUAACCCAAUAUUAUAUUAAUUUCCCUUCAAUCUUCUCUCUCUUUUAGUUAACUUUUUCCUCUCAUUUAUAUAAAAUAAAUAUAAAAUAUGAAUAAGGAGCAAGUAUAAAGAGUACCAUUGGAGUUCUCAUGCUUUUUAGUGUAUUAACUUACUAGGAGCCACAUUUUAUAUUAUUGUUUAAGGAAUGAUUUAGGAGCACCGUUGGAGAUGCUCUAAGAGUAUCUUGGAGCUNAUUCACUAAUACAGCUGCACACAUACACCUUUGCACAGUUUCACAUGCACGUCUCUCAUCUUCUUCACACUUCAUCUUCUUCAUGAGUUUAAGCAAACAAAUAUACACAAACAUAUAUAUGUAUAUCACAGAUCAUCAAAACAAUACAGCCCAAAUCGAUUUUCUAUCUUUCUUCCUCAUUUUACGGUCGUCGGAGUAAGCAUCCGCGGUUCGCCGGAAAUGACGAACUGGAACGCGAUCCCGGCCGAUCCGGGUCGACUUCGACCCGUGUUCCGGUACGAGCGAACCAGUUCGCAGAUCCAUAGACCGUACCGCGAACCGGGUAACUAUGGGUUAUAGCAAUAUCUAACCUUUCUUGUUGCCCAAAAUUCAGCCUCUGUUAACACUCCACCCAUUACAAAUUCCUUGUGAAGUUUCUGCAACUCACUGAAAAAACAAAUCCAUAAAGAGGAGGGAAGAAACGCAUUUUAUUUAUAGAUAAUAGAAUUAGGCAUGAGUUGCACAGCCUGAUAUUUAGAUCUUCAUGGACUUGAAAGAAAAAUGUUAAUCUUUAAAUAUAAAUUUUCAAUCACCCCUUCAAAUUCCGAAAUUUUUUCCUUGAUUUCUAGUCAAUUAGUUAAAACACUCUAAUGCACAAAAACAAAAUGCAUAAUACAUACUGUAGAUUUUACUGAAAAAAUUAAAUGAGCAAUAAUAUAAACCUGAAUCGUGUGGCAUCUUUUUAGAUAUCUGAAAGGGCAUAUUUUUAGAUAUCUGAUAUCAGCAUGUUAACAAUCUUUCUGCAGUGGAUAAAUUAAAUGUAAAUCUAGUUUGGUGGCAGUUCAUUUUAACCCAGAAUAGCUGUGCAAUUGUUGUUUCAUAGAUGUACCUAUCCACCUGCAAAAGCUUAAUCCUGCGAUCCAUUUCUGCUGUGCUAAGUUGCUCACUGCUGGGCGGAACAGAGGGUUUGUCAGAAGAAGCUUUACCAGCAUUAGCAGGAGGUGCAAUAGCCAUGGCUGCUCAAGGAGAAUCAAUAUUCAUAUAAUCCAGUUAAUCCAGUAUGAUAUGCACUUGUAAGAAGAAUGCUUCAAGGCUAACGCAGGGGAAAAGAUUGACAAUAUGUGUACAGAAAUAAAUUCCAAAUUUAAAUUAUUUAAAAGCUAAUGGUACAGAGACGGUAACAUAGAAUCAAAAGUUGAGGGUGAGUGGACGAUCAUAAAGCAAAUUAUGCAUUCAAAACAGGAAGGAGACAACUAUAUGUAGAAGGUGAGAAUGAACUUACCAACAAAAUCCCGGCAAGCAUCACGGUCAGGGAAACUGUCAAACUCAAAAAUGUAACUUUCACCCUAGCAAAAAUUAAGGUUUACAUAAUUAAUGCUUCAAUCAAUUUAUAUAGAAAGGGUAUUAUUUAAGUUGCAUCACAUGUUGGAUCAAGAGUUCUACAACGUGAAGGAAUAAACCCUCUGGCUAAAAAUGAUGGAGCCACAACAUCGAAAACAAAACGGCCUUUCUAAUUAUCCAAUAGAAUUUACCUUGUCUUGCGUAAGAUUAAGAAGAGCCUUCUUAUUUGGAGCCUCCUUGCUGAACUUAUGUCCUGGAUAUCCACAAUGUAAACGAUGUAAGCACGCCGAGAACUUGAUGGCACAGAAAAAAAUAACAAAGUUAUUAUCUCAAGCUUAUAGUCUAAAGAAGGGCCAUAAUCAAACACGUUUCUUAAAAAACAAAAAAAAAAAACCCCCCCCCCCCCCCCCCCAAAUAAAAGAAAAUCCUCUGAUGUAGACUGUCCUCUCAAAUGUCUAAAAUAUAUAUAUACUCAAGUGUAAGAAGAGUACUAAAAAUUUUAAGACAAAACUGAAUAAAAUUGAUUCAAUUUUAUAAUACACAAACAAGUAAUGAGUCUCCCUCAAUCGAGAACCCCAGCUGACAUUAAAUUUCUUCGGAAUGACUCACAUCCUGACACGAAGAUAUACAAGAAAAUACCAAAAAAAAAAAGGACAUGAACCGAAACUGGAGAAAAGAAGGAACCCAUAAAACCUUCUUAUAACCCUUCGGAUCUACCUCAACAAUCUACAAGGCUAUCACCGAGCAAAUGGAUCAUCACUUGCAUGUCUAUAUGCCAAAUUUUAAUAACAGAAUCAAAUAAAAAUGGUUUUCAAUUCUUGCGGUACAAAUAUGUUAUAAGUCUCCCUCGAAGUCGAAAACCCUAAAUGACACUCUGGGAGGAUCUAAAAAUAAAUGGAGAUAUCCGAAUGAAACUUGGUGAAGAUCUAAAGCAAAGCAUUUUCCUACAAGUUUUAACUGAUCCUAUUGAAUUUUCACUGGAUGGAUGGAUCUGAAAAGGACCCGUGAACUGAAAAUCAAAGAUCACAAUUAUCUUGGGGGUGUAAUCUGACAUAGAAUCACUCGUACUAUAGGAGUACAGCUACAAAGAUAGAUAUUGAUAAUAUAUACUGCUUGUCUGUUCUCACUCUCUUCCACUGGCCGGUGCAAGUGGGAAUCGUAUUCAAAAGAAGUUGUGACAAAAGAGCUCUGCAUUUCACAAUAAUUAAAUAAAAUAAUGAAAUAAAAUGCAAUUUCACUCCAUUAUGUGUGUGUUGCUUCCCUUUCCAUAGAUCUCUGGUGGACAGUAUAUAUUUAAAGUUCUUACAUAUUCUGUUGGAGAUCAAUGGGAAUGGCCGUAGCUUGUCAUCUAGCACACUUUUCUUUACUCCACUUGGUUUACGUGUGUCCCCCUCAUUGGCUGCCAUUGAAUAAUUGUACAUGCCCCAUUAGCAAUGGAGAUCCUUCUUUUAGUAUGUCAUGAUCAUUACGCCCCUGCAGUUAUAAUUUCCGAGAAUAAUUCAAAUAUAGUGCUAAAUCAAUGUAAAAUAAAACAUUCAAAGAUUUCAAAGUUCUCACACAUUUGGUUGGAAGUAGGAGUAAAUAGUUACAUACCUGGAGAACCAUCACAAGUAAUAUAUGUCUAGAUAGACAUGUCACGAAAUCAGGAGGAUUCCAAAAUAGCCGAGACCAGAGUGAUUAUUUCUGCCGUAUCCACUCUCCAAAAAACACGGUGUAUCACGCCAUAUAAUUAAUCAGAAGUUUGUUUCUUUGCUUCUAGUUGAUCAGAGUAUAGAUUCUUAAGGGCCAAGGCAGAUGAUAAACUUCGGUUUUACUUUACAACAAGUCGACGUCAUAAACUUUUGAUAAUGGGCGACGUGAUACCCUCACGCGCCAUACAUGAGGGGGUUGCUUUAACCAACACCAUUGCAGCUUUAUACUAAUGAAUUGAAUUAGAAAAGAAAACAAUACAUCAGGUCAUUAAUAUUUGUUUUCUUAAUUUGUGAGACUAUAUUUCUGAGCCGCCCAAUCACGUACAAAGUAGAUGCUUUUUGCUUCCUCUUUGAAGCCCCAAUUUCUUACAUACCCAAUUUGCUCCUUACCUUUUACCAUACAUAGAAAUAUCUUUACUACAAUCAUGUCUCUCAUUUAACUUGUCAUCAUCAUCAUAUCCCCUUACUCUCAACGUCGAAUAUGUUAUUCCUUUGUAAAUUGCAAAAUUCAUGGUUUUGCAAAGAGCAGUAAACCAGUAGAAUUUCAUCUGUUCCAAACUCAUUAAAUAUAUGAAAAUUAUUUCUCUCCGGUCAUCUAUUUCACUUUGAAUUAUACACAACGGUAUAUACAAAUUCAAAACCAAAUAAAGAAUUAUGAUAGAUCGUCGUAUAAACACAGAAAGUUGACUGUACUAAGCAGUUCGAACAAAGAAAGUAAAUUUUCCAAUUAAAAAAACCAGCACCCCAAACAACCAGGCUAACAUGCACCUGUAACUCCUACCUACUAGAAAGGGAUAUACAACUCGUUUUAUUUAGAACUGAUUCUUAAUUUAAUAUAUGUUUAUCCAAUCAAACGAGGGAGAGGCAUUUUUUUAAAGGUGGCUAGCGUAUGCUGGUCCCAUUCCAUAACUUUCUUGAGCUCCUAUAAAUACCUCUGCCCCUCGCCUAGGUAAUUGCAAUAUUCAUAAAACCCCUCAUAUAUCAUCUACACUGCUCCCCUCCUCGGCCCUCAGCCCUUGGCCCCCAGCUCAGCCACUGCAUCUUUAUUCACUAAUUACUGCCGCUUCUCAUAUCAGGUAAUUCACAUUUUGAUGAUUUCAACUCAGCAAGCGCAUAAUCUAUCCUAUUAUGUAACACCACAUGUGCGAGCUCUCACACAACACACUUCUUCACUGUUGACAACAAAGCUGAACACUAACAGCACUUGGCUAUGGUAAAUAUUUUGACACGUUUCUCACAAGUACUUGUAACCUUGUGCAGGGAGUAGUGGUACCCUUUCUUCCCACGACACAUAUCAACGAAGAUUAAUCACCUGUCAAGAUGUCCACUGUUGCAUGCGAAAGGAACUUACCACUAGAAGUUAAAGAAAAGCAAGGUAUAGUUUCCAUUCUUGGAUCCAACUCUCAAGCAACAAAGCCACCUGCAGCGGCCUCCUUUAGGAGAACUCUUUCGGCAGACAUGUCUUCAAAAAAAUGGCUGGCCGAUAAUGGGUUUACUAAACAUCCAGUGAUGAAAAGGGUGUUAUCCUCUGCACAGCUUUCAUUUAUCUCAACUAUUGAUCAUCAGUCUUCUUCAUCUGAUGAAGAAGAAGAAGAAUUCAAUGGUAAGAAAUCUAACCAGAUUCCUAAACAAGAUGAUGUUUGGAGCUCAAUUGUAUCACAGAAGAAAACAGAAGAGCUCCCACCUCCUUAUGUUCAUCCUCUUGUCAAGAAAUCUUCAAGCUCCUUGUGCUCAAAAAGCCUUGAGAUAUGCACUGAAAGUCUUGGAUCAGAAACUGGCUCUGACAAGGUCACCAUGUCUGAGCCUUUAGAGACUGGCUCCGAGUUCAAUGGCUUAGGCAAGGUUCAAGAACGACCACAACCACUGGCACAACAAGAGAAAGAAAUAUCACAGGGUUCUCUCUUUGGAAAAACUGCAGCAGUUGCGAAGUACAAUAACUCUACAGCUUCUAACAAAAGGAUGCAAUCCAAAUCUUUCCCCCCUCCCAUCCCUUUACUUGCAGGUAGCAGCGAAGGACCAUCUCUUCACAUGCAUUCUCACCGUGAAAAUGGUCGAUUGGUUCUUGAAGCUAUUUCAGUACCUUCAACUAAAAAACUCCAGGCACACCGCCAAGAUGGACGUCUUCGCCUCACACUUAUCCAACCUCCAACAGGUCAACACAAUGUUCAAAAACCCGACCGAGAUAAAGCUGUCAUUUCUGACCGAGAAGAAUAUAAGAUAGAAGACAGCCUUGAGGAUGUCUUUGAUAUACUUGAGCAAGAAGAUGAUGAAAUAGAUAUCCUAAAAGAUGAUGAAACAACCGAGGAAACUGAAGAGGAACUUGAAGAAUUUCAAGAGACUGCGACUGAACAUGCAGUGUCUGAAAAAGCAAGGGGGGUGAUUAACAUACACAGGUCAGCUUUGACGAAGAAAAUCAUGGGACUGGAGAACCAGAACCCUAAAUGGUCUCCUAAGUUUAAUCAUGCAGGUGCCAAAGUAGAACCAAAGCAUGAAAAUGAGAAGAAAACAUCAUUACCACAAUCUCUCCCACCAAGACCUCGGACAACAAGAUCCAUGCCGAUCACACCACCGCCAGCUGCCUCAUUUAACGCUUAUGAGUACUUCUGGAGACCAAAACCUGCAACCACAGGUCUUAAGAGCCAACUUACCCCUUGCUCAGCCCUAAAAAAUGAAACUGACAACAAUAUAGUUUCCACCAAUAAACCAAAAUCCUAUGAGCAACAAGAACUGCUGGUGUUGAGAAAUUGCAGGAAAGGAAGGAGAUCUCUUCUAAGCUGGGAUGCACAUUGCAUAGUAACUACCUAAAUUACCUAUCCACCCAGAUACCCCCAGACUGUUAUCCCAUUUAUUAUUAAUAUCUGCUACAUACUCUUAAAAUAAUUAAGAUCUUUGAUGGUUAAAAAGACCACUUUGACGCCUGAAUAAAUCUCCAGUGAUUGAGGAUACAUAUUUACCUGGCGGAUUGAAGUAAUUAAGAGUAGUAUUGAUUACCAACUACGAUAACUUUUCAAGGACAGGCAGAAUCUUCAAGACGUUGACCUCAUGGGACUACUUGUCUGUCACUGCCUCAUAAUGGAAUUCACUUUCCAUUGUCCUCUGCUUUCGUCAUCCCAACCAAGUGGAGAUGUUCAUAUUUCCUAUUAAUUAUUAUGUAUGUCAACUUGAUUAGAUUUAAGUCAUAAUCCAUCCUUGAUUUCUCGUCUUCCUACUUUAUGUCUUUAGUGGCAAAUCUCGUAAUACUCUAGAGGAUCAUCUAAAUAUUGUGCUUGGUUGGAGAUAAUGGAAUGGAAUGAGCAAAUAAAAGAAAAUAUAAGGGGUAGGAGGGAAGUUUUGAAGAAAAAAUGAGUGCAAAAUUGUUAUGAUGAGAUGAUAUGAUAACAAAUUGGGUAUAGGACGGAACGAGGCCUUCUUUCUCAAAAUGAGGGUGUGAACUCUAGUUAAAGUAUAAGGAAUGGAAUGGGGGAAGGAAUGAAAUUUGAACAAUUAUUCAGAACUAGGAUUUUUUGCCCGCUACGCAUGGUUUAAGAAAUUAAUUCUAUAUUAUUAAAUUAAUUUAUUUUAAAAUGAAUUUAAAUUUUAAGAAAGAUUUGAAAAAUAAUAAAGAAGAUAACAUAAAGAAUAGUUUGUUAAUGCUGGUUAAUUACUUAUAAAAUAAGUAAUUAAAAAUUUAUAAUUAUAUUUAAAAAGAUUUCCCACUACGCAUGGCAAAUAUGAUUAGGCUAUUACGUGAGCUCGUGGGUUUAGCCAGUGCGCAUAUAAAAAAGAGCGGCCGCGGGUUUCUACGUUAAAAAAAAUGAUUUUUCUACAAUGAUUUUUUUAUUCUAUUUUUUCAAUAUUUGUUUUGUAAUUUUUUUUGAUAAGUGUUUUGUAAUUGAAUAUAUAAAUAUUUUACUAAAAAUAUUGAUAUUAUAUUGAUAAGCUCAUUUAACACCACUUGUAAUAUAAAGUUAUGGUGGCAUCUUCUGGUUAAAAACAUAAUCCUCUAAUAUUUAAUUUUUGUCUUUCUUACAUCUUUAUGAAGAUAUGUUUAUAACUUUUCAGCAUUUUUACUUUGUUGGAUUUGCUAGAUGGGUAUUGGUAAUAAUACACAAUUUUAUUGAAGUAUAAAACUAAAAAUAUAGAUAAUUAUAUUUGUUAGAAAAAUAUAGUUCUAAAGAAGUUGUUCAAAUUAUUAAUUUCUUACUACUGAGAAAAAAUGUGCGUUAUAGAAAUCAUUACAUAAUUUACAUAUAAAAAUUGGAAAGCAUAACUCAGUAAAGACAACUUUCUUUAAAUAAAGGUUUCUUUACUUAUCUUACUUUUUCAAAAUCGAUGCAAAAUAAUAAUCCUAAAUUUUCUAUUUAAUAAAUUAUUCUCUCCACCCCCCACUUGACACAUCAUGAAAUAUGAGACCGAUUAAUAUUUAAUAUAUAAAAUAAGUAACUAAAUAGAAUUAGUAGAAGUAGUUAGCUUUUUAAUAUAAAAUUUUAUAAUAUCCAAUAGAUUUUGAAAUGUAAAUAAAAAUCUUUUUUUAAAAAGAAGUAGUUAAAAAAUAUGCACAAACCCUGAGAUGAUGAUAAAGAAGAGUAGACAAUGAACAUGUUAUGCCAAUGUCUCGGCUUUUAUAUUGAAGUUGCUAACUAAUAUUUCGAUCUAACAUCGACAAAUAAAACCACAAAUAAAAUACUUGUAAUCAAGUUAGUAGCUGCAUUCCAAAGAAAGAGUAUGUUCUGGCCUUUUGUCAAGCUCAUUCCAUAAUUCAUUAUAAAUACAGUAUCAAUGUUCAGAAGGUUUACGCAUGCUAUUAUAAUUAGGGCAUGAUUAUCUUUAAAGUUCUCCAUCCCAGAGCUCCUGGACUGUCCUAAAGGGGCUAGUUUCAGAGAUAAAGAGCUGCUCAAGGUUUGCCCUCCUUUGCCGUAUUGCGGCAAUCUUCUUGGACCCUUCGUUGCUCAACUCCCACUCAAAAAUAUCAAGAUUCUGCUUUAGUCUCUCUUUGUUGAAGCUAUUCACCACAAUAAUCACCCCUUGCUCAUAAGCCCUUCUCAAUGCAAUCCGUGCUACAGGCGUACCUUUUGACUUUGCAAUUUUCAUCAGAAACUCAGAUUCCAACACUCCUUUCGUCCCCCAAAAAGCUCCUAGAAGAGAAAUAAGCAGCAGCCUUGAUUCCCAUUUAUCUUGAUUUUGUAAGGCCGAGACUUUGGCACUCUUCCAUAGCUGUCCAAACAAAUUUGAUGUCCAUUGCAACAGUAUCCUCAGGGUUCAGUUGAAAAAGAUUUGAUCCAGCCUUCAUGCUUAGCGGAAAAUGUAUAAGAUACUGAUAAAUAUAGCUCAACUUCAUAUUUUUGUCCAAGUUAUAAAAAAAAAAUUCCAGAUAUCUUAUACAUCAGUACAAAGAUUAUAUUAAUCAACAUUGAUAUGAAGAAAAUAUGACAGAAAAAGAAAAAGGCAAGUUCAUAUAGCUUAAAAUUUAAUAUUCCCCAUAAUAGAAAUGAAAAUUAACAGUGCAAAGUUUUAUUAUAAUAUUCUUCUGUAGUAUAUAAAGUUUUCAAUUACAACAAUCCAAUUCUAUCAUUGUUAUUUGCUCUUCUAGUCACCUAUGACAAUAUCUCAGUCCCCAUUCAUACAAACAAAUUAUGAUAGAAAUGAACUAAAUCGAUAUAUUUAAAAAUUUAAUAUCCAUCAGAAUAGAAAUUGAAAUUAACACUACACAGUUUUAGUACUUUCAGUGAUAAUUUUCAGGAUUAUUUAUGUCAUUAUGUGUUACUACUUGCAACAGAUGCUUUAAAAUCUAGUGGACAAAUAGUCUAAUAGUAUUAUAUAAUUAUCAUAAAAUCUGAUUGAUGCUUAGGAAAAUAAAUCAAACUUGAAUUGUUUAAAAGGGUUGUUCGCUAACCUUAUAAAUAGAUGCCAAAUAUGUAUUUGGGAUUUCCAUCUCAGCAAGAAUGCUACUGUUAAUUGCCAUCGCUGCUUUAAGGAUCUGAUUAGUGCAAUUGCUUUGGUGUCGUAAAUGCUUCUUUCACUUACCAGAAUGGCCGUUGGAAGGUACACAAAGAAAUGGCAGCCACAACUUUUGUUCUGUAUGCUGAGGCGGAGGAAUGAUCCUCCUGAAUGAGCCUGAACAUGUCAAAUUUCCUAACAUGCUACCUUGUUCUGCAUCCAAAACUCUGUAUCAUGAAAACUUUCAAGGACUUGUUCCUGCCACGAAGACACAAAUACAUGGAAAUAAACAAUAAGCUAGAAAAUCUCCUGGAAGCACCAAAAUUUAUUUCAAAGAGUGGAAAAAGAUCUUCCCAUAUUAGGAUAUUUAUAAAAUGAACUUGCACACAGAAUAAUCUUGUUUAGUAACACACACUAUUUGUUUGCUAACAAAAUAAUUAACACGAAAAUAUUUGUCAAUUAGGAGAGGAAUGACUUACGUGACCAUAAUCUCCCAGAUUGACAACUAAAGCUCCUUCCAUAGGCUUAACCGUAAUUGAAGUUUGCCACCAUCCCGAGUGGCAUGUAAUCCACUAACCUGCUCCUGAAGCAAAAGGGUAAUUGCACCUGAGUCUGUAUGCCUUCUGCAUCCAAGUGUCAAGUCGGGUUUGGGACACGGGGAUAGUAAUUAAGUAACACUUUUUGUUCCAUAUUCACGCAAGCUUUUGUAAUAAUCUCUUUUUCAAGGACCAUGGCCUCUGAUAACUCUUCCAGUAACUUGGUACCAAGAUCCUGUAACUUUUCACAGUAUUCUUCUGUGAUGGACCUCCAUCCCUCAGGCUUAUGAGGCCGUCGGGAGUAAUCCCGACCACUAAUUGGUUACAAACUCAUGCCAGUCCAUUGCGCUGUCACCCUGUAUUGUAUUAGUUACUAUAAUAUAUUAUACUGCAUUACUAUUAUCUAAUAAUAAUUCCUGAGAAUGAUCAGUUGAUUGAAAGAUCACGAUUUUGUAGUUCGAUUUAAUGGUUGCUAGUGUUAAUUAUCCAACACAUUAUGUGCAAUUUUAUUAGCCUAGACUAAAACAAUUUUGUGUUCAUUUGUGGAGUUGGGAAGCUCAGCUGACGGUGCAGACUAAGCUAGUGUCAUUAUCAUUAGUUAAAUCUCAGUUCAGGUUGCAGUCUAAGUUUAUCGUCAUUUGGUUCAGGUUCUGCCAUUAAUGAGGAACACUAAAAUGAGAACUUAGAAGCAUUUACGAACCUAAGAACUUGAUUUAAAUUAAAAACCUUAACGUGUAAUAUCUAAAUGGUUCUAACAAUUAACUAAAUCAUGUGUGUACAAAUCAAAGCCUAUCAUACAUUAUAUUAAUUGUGUGAUAAAUCUUAAAUAUACCUUAAGAUGAGUGGAGACAGUAAAGUUGCCUCUCUUGCCACCGGUUGUAUCAUACGUGAGCUUCUCCUCAGCUGGCAAAGCAAAGAAUUCAUGAGAAAGAUGAUAUAUUUUCAGAAACCAAAGUGUUGUCAAUACCGUGAUCAACUGCCUGAAAAAUACUCCAGUCUUCAAAGGCCUCCACUAUUUUACGACCUCAGACCUCCUAUCAACAGAAUCAUCGUAGAUAUAAGUUACAGUACCUGCCACCAUUGAAAAUAAGAAUACAAAUAAGGCAAGAAUCUCAAGAGUUUGAUAAUAGAAUAGUGAUAUAAGUUACAGCAACUGUCUACAUGAUUCAAAUCAAUUUGCAAAGUUUAAACACUUAAAUUCAAUUAAAAGUUCUUUCAAAACUAUCAACAAACAUAUAUACACAUUUAUACAGUAUACAUAUAGAUCGAAUUUCGAAAAUUAUAAUAAAAUUGAAUAGAACUUAAAGCAAACACCUUGUGUGCAAUUCAUUCAAAGACACUUAAAUAGUUAGUUCUUUAUCUUUGAUGUGUUAAAGUUUUAAACACUUGAAAUCAAUUAAAAGCUAUUUCAAAACUACAACUUACGACUACCAUAUCCAUUUAAAAUUAUGUUAGCAAACAUCUGUACGCAUUUAUUCGGUAUACAUAUAUAGAUUAGUUUCGAAAAAUUACAAUAAAACUGAAUAGAACUAAUAGCAAACACUUUGUGUGCAAUUCAUUCAAAGACACUUAUAAAUAGUUAGUUCUUUACCUUUAAUGUUUGUGAGAAUCGUAACAUCUUCUUCAAUAAAAUCUCAUAAACUUGAUUGCUACCUGCACAUAUCACAACUUCAUUAUUUUAGUUGAUAUCUUUAAAAUCAAAUAUAAUAUAAGAUUAAAGUUAUGUCAAAAAUUUAAAAUAAAUUCAAAGACCACGAAUGAAACAAAGAACAGAUACAUGAGAGGGGAGAUGAGAGAAUAGAAUUCAAAAUAUGAGAUUUGAUUACGUUUAUGAAGAGAAGAGAAGAGUAUAUAAUUCAAAUUUGAAAUCUCAAGUUUUGAAUCAAAAAGUUGAACAAAAGAUACCGAAAUCUGUGCAAGUACCUGUGUGUGUGUAUGCACAAUUUGCACAGCAUCAUACACGUGCAAAACCGUAGAAGUCAAUAUGGUCAAAUGGCAAAUGAUGAAAAUACGGUUAAUAAGAGGAGGACAGAAAGGUAAAAACGCAGUGAAAGAGCCUUCAGGCAAUAUAUACUAAAGAGAUAUAGUUCAAAUUUCAUUCCAUUCCUUCCGAAUCUCUUCACCCCAACCAAAUAGUCCCGCCAGAAAAAAAAAAUGCAUGUAUAGUCAAGUCGUCCAUGCAGAACACUGCAAUAACAAACCCCAAAUUGACAUACAAAGAAUAUCGAUGAAGGCAAUUCUUUGAACACUAAACUUCUAACUAUUACCUUAUAUAGUCCAUACAGCUUAGUUUUACCACCUCAACUUUAAAUAUAUAAACCCACAUCAUAAAUAGAACAGCAAGAAUAUUUUGAGCAGAACAUGACAGAUAUAUGAUAAGUGAUGAAGCAGUGAGAAUUGCUAUAGAUAUAUGAUAAAUUCAAAGUUUAUUUCACUUAAGCAUACUAGGAGCUAGGUUUCUGGACUGCUCAGGCAAUCCCAACUACUUAUAUAAGAAAAUAUAGUCAUGUCAAGGUUUUAUAAAAUAAAAUGGUAACAACCAGAAACUUCCGUACACACAAAACUGCAAAAGUGUAAACAUAUUAAAAGAAAGAACACCCAGGUACUAGUGUACGACUUGACAAGGUGGUGUUGGAUUAUCAAUUCAAAUAUACAUACAGUGACACCACCAAAAAGAGGUUUUAUAGUAACAACAAAUAUAGUUAGAAGCUAGAAAUGAUUCAAAAUACAAGAGAUGUUUAAUUCCAUUAAAAUAUCUUGACAUGCUAAUUACUAACAUCACUGUUUAAAUUAUAAUUGCAGUUGAUGCUAAAACUACGGUGGUCUGCUUAAGAGGUAGGACGCCAUUAAAAAAAAAUUACAUGUAGCACAUACUGACCUCAUAUUUACUAAAAUUAAAACAAGAAAUCAACCAUCAGCAGCUCCCAGUUUAGUUUACUGUGUUCAUUUAGCAUCAACAUUGUCAAAACCAAAUGGAAAGAGAAAAAAAAGGCUUGUAUUUAGUUUUGAAGCUGGGAGCAGAUAUUAGAGGUGCCAUAUAGCAAUAACAUCAAAUGGACCUCAAUAGAUCAGCUCAGCACAGUUAUCACUUAUCAGUAAUUCAUGAUCUUCAAAGCCUAGGAUGUCUGUGCUAAACUCAGUAUUUAGAUAUUCAGAAGUCUCUAACACGCUAUACUUUAUCACUUGAUUAAGCUAACAAGAUAAAAAUUAUAGUGUCACUUAACAUGUGAUACAAGUGUGUGUGUGUGUGUGUGUGUGUGUUAAGGCCAAAUUUCAUCAAGACUGAGACUUGUUAAAAUGGUAAUAGUAUUGCGCUUCUUUGUUGGAUUUGUAAGAAUUUCCAGUGUUUUUAGGACUGGGAUUUAUGGGCAAUUUCUGAGAAUUUUAUCCCUUCUCAAGCCAAACAUAUUUCUCCGUCGAUAGACUACUUUACCAUACAUACAGACUUGUGGUAAAUUUGGACUCAAAAUCUUAAGAAGUAAGUCACAGACACGCAAUAAAUAUGGCAGGUUUCAUUAUGUAAUAGAAAACCAAUUAUUAAAAGCUCUUCUGUAAUGAGGUUAGAGCAAGCACAGAUAUGAAACUAUCCCAUGUCCUUAACCUUAUCCUGUUCCCACAGUGUUCUCGGGCAUUCAUGGUGUCCGUUUUCCUAAGGUAGAAAGGUACGUGUACCUUCACCAUGUAGGGGAUAGACAAGUCCCUAGAUUUUGGGGAACUUUUGUUUCAGAAUUCAUAGUAUUGUGUAAACUUUCGCUAUUAAAAAUAUCACAUUGAUAUAUGCAGAUUUUUUCGAAUAAAUCCUCAAAUUGGUGACGCUAAUAUAUUUACUAACCCACCAAAGAUGGUGAUACUAAGAGAAAGUUCAGCCACUUGAAACAAGAAAAACUGGGUGUCUUCCAACAAUCUACAUAUUAGCCCAUAAUAACGACAAAUGACGUCUUAUAUGAGAAACUAGAAACUUGAUUAUGUAUAACUUUUUAUUGGGUAACAUUUCUAGCAAAUUAUGUUUACUUCAAGAUGGUACAAGUGGUCUAAAUAUAGAUACAGGUACAGCAAGUGAAACUUACAUUUUCUUUGUUCUCCAAUAUAGAAGUCAAAGAAAGACUAUAACAGCUGCCUCUAGUUAUCAACAGCUCUAAAUAUGGUGAGAAGCGAAAGAAAGAGGUUGAUGAUGUCCAAAUACAGAGAAACUGAAGCCCAGAUGUACUCAUCAUAACUGUAGCGCUUAAUUAAGUUAUCUGUAUCAUAGACAAUGUAUCCGCAAAAAAUAACUGAUGCUAGACAGCCAUAAAUCAUCUCUGAAGUUCUCCCGAGGGGAAAGAAUAUCUGAAAUUAAGAAAUAACCAAUGUUUAACAGCCAAAUAUCGGACUCAAACACAAGCAAAUGGGGGGGGGGGGGAAGAAGAAAAAGAAUGGACAGCAAAACAGAAUGGAAAAAAAUGCAUACCUGAAUAAAGCCAAACACCAUCAGCACAAUAAUGGAACCAAAGAGGAAGGGACCUAAGAAAUUGAAGUCUUGACCCCUCUUUACCGCCCAAAAAGUGUACAAAGUAAGGCUCACGACAACUACGGCUGUUAAAAUAACAGCUUCCAAGAUAACCUUUCCUGUAGCAUAUUCAAUUUGAGUUAACUUCCAAGACCAAAUGAGUUCUCUAACCACAAAAACAUCACAGAAUGAAGUCGGUGACCAAAAUAUAAUACUACAUAGACUAAGAAUUGAACUUAUCAAAAAAGAGAGACAACAACAGUAAGUCAUUGUCUUAGGAACAACAUACUGAUUUGAUUAAAGUCGGCUAUUAUAAUCGAUAAAAUUUAAAAUUAGACAUAGUCGGUCUAAGUACACCUAUUCACCCCUUUUAUGCGCACUUUCAGAAAUAAUUUUCACUAAUAACUAGAAACCUCCAAUCAUUGUCAAACCAAAAAAAAAUCUCAUCUCGCUUUAAAAGAAAGCUGAAGAAAAAAUUCAAGAAGUUUGUAACUAAUACAAACUUGAUAUGACUAAACAACCAAAUAAUAUUAUCCCGCUUUAGCUAAGAUACAUCCUCCUGAAGAAGCAUAUUUGUUCAAAGAUAUAUCUUCAUCAGUCAUAAAUCAUAAGCACCAGAACCCUGAACGUUAAAUAAUAGUUUGGUUGAUCAAUUAAAUCGGAUGACAAGAAUAGCAGAGCAACAUUACAAAGUCACAUAAUCUUUUUAAUACCUGCUAUAUACUUUAAUUCAGAAACAGAUAAUGAGACUUCAAAUGCAAAAUGUGCUAGCGGAAUUUUAAUUAAUUGUAGGCAUAUAAUAUAAAAAAGUACAUAUACAUUGAUUGAUAGAUGCAUAUGCUAUAAGGAUAUAUAACACAAACAUACCGCUGGUAUAAGCACAAGUCAGACCGAUGGAAAACGAGAGAGCAAACGUGAACACUCCAAGUAAUAUCAAGUUCACCGGAUGUCGCUGAUAAUAAUAUGAUAACGGACACAACACUGCAAAAAAAAAUAUCAAAAACCAAUAUAUUUGUUCCUCAAAUUAUAACUUUGCUACAAUUUUAGCACUAGAACACAAUAACAAUUGUUAUGCACUUUUCAUAAAUAUUGUUCCGUAAAUUAUUAGACUAUUAACAAUAAUUAUUUGAGAACUGUUUUCGCCUGAGCACGAGCCUAUACACGAUCAGAUAUACUAAAACUUACCGACAAAAGGAGUGAAAAUGAGAAGUAUGUAUAGAAAUAAUCCGGCACUAGUCGUGGUGAAGAAAGCAGAGAUUGGCCGGAAAGAGACGACGACGGCGGCUACAACGACGGUGAGAAUCAACUGAAUAGCGACGACGGAGUAGAUUUUACGGAUAAAGGCCCACCGGAGCUCCGGCGCCUCCAACAUCAUGGGGUAAAGAGGCUCACUCGUCCCCGAUUCGACGUCGUUUUUGGUUUGGCGCCACAUUUUUGCACACAGAUACACACAGUGAAACUAUUUCGUGAUGGAGUCGAAAUUGACAAAAGAAUGGAAAGUGUUGAAGAUUUGGGGGUUUUUUAAAGGCGCGUUUGGUAGAUGGGGAAAAUUAUUAAAGUGACACGUGGCGUUUUGAUAGCAGCCAACGUGGUGAUAUACCUUGGCUUGUUUCUUGUCCAUCAAAUAUCCAUAUUUUGGUUUAUUAUUUUUUAUAAUUUUGCAUUUUGACUAUUUAUUUUGCUAGAUACCAAUUCAGUUAUAGACUAACGUUCUGCGUUCACUUGUUUUAUAAAUAUUUUUGAUUUUUUGUUUUUAGGAACAAGUUGUGUGAUUUUUAAAUUUACUUGUCUCAAAUCGUGGAUGGCUAUAAAAUUUAAUUAACACAGUCAAAUAUCACCUAGGUGGUUUAAUUUUUAAUGAUUAGUUGCUAAGUAGAAUAGCAAGUUGUUUGGCUUCUCAUGUUGUAUUUCUGUUUUCAUAUUCCUAAAAAUUAUGUUCAACCAGGAUUGAAUAUUGUUAAAUGAGUUGCGUAUAAGAGAUAUACGAGGAAGUUGUAUAUCUACGGCUCUCGUUUGGUCGGGGAAUCAAAAGUUGCUUCUGUCUUCUCAUUUUUUUGAUCCGUUUGUAUAAUUAAGUAGAAUUAUUUUUAAAAUUUUGAGAAUACUAACAUCUCGAUUUCUUUUCAAAACACUUUAUUAACUCAUUUGCUUUGAAAAUAUAUAUUUGAUUUGCAAGUUAUGCAUUUCCAAGUUAUGCGCAAGACCGUUAUACAUUUCCAAGUUAGCCACCCGUUAUCUGAUUUGCAAUUAUAGAUUUGUAGUUAUAUUACGUUUUCAUUUUUGAAAAACAUGUAUUUGAUUUCAAAUGUCAUAUCUCUUUGUCAAAAAAAAAAAAAAUGACAUAUCUCUAGGUGUCAUUUCAAAUUCUUUAUUUUAUGCUAAUAUAUGAAUGUGCUGAAUUUCAAAUGAAAUUCACAUCUAAUAUUUUUUUUCCCUCCAAAUAUGUCAUUUGAUUAAAACCAGAAUUUUAAAUGAAAUCUAAGUUUCCAAACAUAACUAUAUACGUUGGUCAAAAUGACUAAAUUGUGAGUAUAAGUCUAGAUGCUGGGUUUGGAGUUUGGACUAUGGGACUAGGUUAUUGCUUUGCUUUCAGGGGCAGGCUUUUUCUAGAGCAAGGCAUUGUUUAAAAAUAAUGAGAUAUAACUUCUUUAACAAAGGUCUUAGAUCAUGGUUUGCAUUUCCGUCGAAUAUAAAAGAAGAAAUAUACUACUGUAACUGGUCGUGCACUGAACAUACUUUUAUUCCUAAAUGUUUCCAGAACUGCAGGUGUUGUUUUCCAUGCUGCUGAACAACAACCGGCUAUCUUGUAUUGUUGCAAGGUGAAUGUCUAUGAUCGGUACCAAUUAGUAAGGUUUUAUAACUUCAUUCCCUCUAGAAGUCUUAAAAUAUGCACAAUCCUAUACAUAAGUGUGAUUCUCAUGUAAUUAACAAAAUCAUUCACGGAGGUAAAAAUGAAAUGAUAUUGCAGAUUGCUGCAGCCUGCAAGACCCCUUUGUUUUUCUGUUUGUGACAUCCAAAGGACAUAUAGAGGGUAUGUCUUUUUUGCUAGAAUGUUAGAAUAAAUUUUUGUCAAUAAAUUGUUAUCUGGAUUUAUUAAUUUUUGCUGAAUACUGUUAUUCAGAUUUCAAUUGCAGAGUUUCAUAAUUAUCAUAAUUUCAUAGAGAUGAAAGCAACCUAUUUCAUGAAGAACGGACCUGUCAAUGCUUCUAGUUCCACUCCCACAGGCCAUAUAUGCUUAGCCUGAGUCUCUUUAACUUUUUGUUUCUUGCACAAAGUUUACUUAAGUAGGUGUAUAACUUAGAAGUUGUUUAGCUUUACAGAAGCUAUAGAUAAGCAUUGUUUUUUAUUUCAAAUGAUGCACUGUUUUAUAGUGCAACAAAUUAAUUGAUUCAGUUUUCUUCUUUUACUGGCCAGCUAGACUUUUUUUCUUGCCGUUUUCCUAGUGUGUACACACUAAGCACCCAAUUUCAUAAUUUUGAUGGAUUUUGAUUUGCUCCUCCUUUAUAAUGGUGGAUCCUGCAAAUUCACCAAACACAUCAAUAAAAAUCCAUCAAAAUUAUGGAAUUUGGUGCUUAAUAUGUGUUCAUGGACACGACAAACUCUUUUUCUUGCUGAUGUACCAAUUUAUAUCUCUUGUCUAGCCAUGCAGAAGUCUACAGAAUCUAUAAUUUAUAAAUUUUUAACUUUUAUAUAUUAUUCCACUCAAUUGCGUGGAGAUCUUCUUAAUCAACCAUUAUUUGUUGAAUUUCAUAUAGUUUAUUAUUAUAAUAAAAUAAUAUUCUAAAUAAUUAUAAGAUGUUAUUUUUAAAAUAAUUCGAUCAUUAUAUUCAUUCAUCACGCAUUACGGGUUCAAAUUUUAUUUAAUUAUAUCUAGUGUUCAAGAUGCUAUAAAAUUUUACAAAAAUUUUAAAAAAAGAAAAGAAAAAGAAGUAUUGAAUUGUGCAGGCUCCUCACAAAACUAACCAGUUUGAACGUAAACUUUUCAAAACUAACCAGUAUACGUUCACCUUUUCAAAACUAACCAGUCUAAUUCUAUCCGACUCGGGCGACCCAAACUAAAUUUCGGUCAAAGCAUGGGUCGCCCCUGCCAUUGGCGACCCCUGUGGUCUUUAUUUCAGCAUAGGUCGCCUGUGUAUAGGGCGACCUCAGUGUUGGUUCUGGUUUUACAAAGGGGGAGGCAGAUGGAAGGAGGCACACGGAACUGCAUGCCUGUUAUAUUUUAUGAUUUUAUUUUUUUAUGUAAUCUUUGAAUGGACUUGAAAUAACGACAUAUUUGUAAAAUAAUAACAAUAAUAUUAUAGUAAUAUUAUUUAUAAAUAUGAUAAUAAUAAUAUUUGUAAAUUCCGAAUAUAAUAAUAUCAUCUUACGAAUAUUUUUUUUACAAAAAUAUUUUCUCUUUUUUUUUUGUUUUGCUUUUAUUUAUUAUGUUAAUCAUAUUUGUAAAUAUAAUUCGAAUAGUUAAUAUUUUUUAAUAUUAAAUAAUAAUAUUUGUAAAAAAAGAAUUCAAAUAAUAUUUGUAAGAUAAUAUUGUUAUAAUCAGAAUUUAUAAAUAUUAUUGUUAUCAUCUGAAUUUUCAAAUAUUAUUGUUAUAAUCGGAAUUUAGAAAUAUUUGAAUUCUUUUUUAUUAUUGUUUAAUAUGUACAAAUAUUAAAUAUUCAAAUUAUAUUUACAAAUAGGGUAAACAUAAUAAACGAAAUCGAAAAAAAGAGGAAAAUAUAUGCAAAAAAAAAAUAUUUGUAAAACAAUAUUGUUAUAACCAGAAUUUACAUAUAUUAUUGUUAUAAUCUGUAUUUUCAAAUAUUAUUAUUAUAAUCAGAAUUUACAAAUAUAAGAAUAAUAUUUUUACAAAUAUUAUUGUUUAAUAUUUACAAAUAUUAACUAUUCGAAUUAUAUUUACAAAUGGGUAAACAUAAUAAACGAAAUCGAAAAAAAAAAGAAAGAAAACAUUUGUAAAAAAGAAAAUAUUUGUAAAAUAAUAUUAUUAUAAUCAAAAUUUGAAAAUAUUAUUGUUAUAACUGGAAAUUACAAAUAUUCAAAUUCUUUUUUUACAAAUAUUAUUGUUUAAUAUUUACAAAUAUUAAAUAUUCGAAUUAUAUUUACAAAUACAUAAUAAACGAAAUCGUAAAAAAAGGAAAAUAUUUGUCAAAAAAGAAAUUUUUUGUAAAAUUAUAUUGUUAUAAUCAGAAUUUACAAAUAUUAUUGUUAUAAUGAUAUAAUCAGAAUUUUCAAAUAUUAUUGUCCUAAUCGGAAUUUAUAAAUAUUUGAAUUCUUUUUUUACAAAUAUUAUUAUUUAAUAUUUAAAAAAUGUUAACUAUUCGAAUUAUAUUUACAAAUACGGCUAACAUAAUAAAUGAAAUUGAAAAAAAAAAAUUUUAAAAAAUAUUCGUAAAAUGAUAUUGUUAUAUCGGAAUUUAAAAAUAUUAUGGUUAUAAUCGUAAUUUACAAAUGUUAAUCUUAUAAUAUUUAUAAAUAAUAUUGCUAUAAUAUUAUUAGUAUUAUUUUAUAAAUAUGUGGGUUUUUUAAAUUCAUUCAAAUAUUACAAGAAAAUAAUAAUAGAAAAACGUAACAACUGGAGCUUGUAAGAUUGCAUCUGCCUCCCAUUUUGUAAAAUCAGCACUGAGGUCGCCCUAUACACAGGCGACCUAUGCUGAAAAAAUGAUCACACAGGGGUCGCCCAUAGCCGAGGCGAUCCAUGCUUUAGCUAAGAUUUAGUAUGGGUCGCCCGAAUUGAAUGGAAUUAGACUGGUUAGUUUUGAAAAGUUGAACGUAAGCUGAUUAGUUUUGAAAAUUUUACGUUCAAACUGGUUAGAAAUGUAAGGGAACCGAAUUGUGCAUAUCAUUAACGUGCCCACUACUAUAUAAAAAGCAGAGAAUUUUAACAUGCGUUGCCCACGAAACUUUAACAAAAGUCUAAAAUGGCACAUGAUAAGUAGCUAUCAUACACUGUUACACUGGGCGAAGACGUAAGAUCAUUAUCAAGUACAUUGUACAUUACAUUUGAUUAUAGGGUUAAUAUAAAGGAUUAAACUAACAGAAAUUCUUUUAAAUUAUUUUUACGCUGCUCCCCGUUUGCUCAUUUGCUCAAACAUGUCUGCUUAUCAACGCGGCCCGCGGGUGUUGGAACAUGGGAACAAGGGGAGUGCACCACUGUUCUUCGUCAGAGCCCGUUUAAACUUAGAUCGUUUGGAUAAAUUUAAAAUAAAUAUUUUUUUUUAAAAUUAAUAAGUAGAAUAGAAGUUAGAAGUAAGUGUUUGAGAAAUAAGUAAAAGCACUAGAACAAAAGUUAGCAUUCCUAAUUUUCAAUAAGUGCUUCUUUGAUUUUUUACGGUACGAAUAAGUGCUUCCAACUUAUAAAUCUAGAAGCCGUGCUUUUAAGUGGCAAACAAACACCCCCUUAAUUUUAAGAAAUUAUAUAUUAUUAGUAAAUGAAAAUUAUAUAUCUUUUCAUUUUUUAGUAAUAAUUUUAUGAACUAUUAUUUAUGAAAUUUAAUAAUAAUAAAAUAAUUAUUAUAAAACAUGUUUUAAAAUAUCAUAUACAUAUUUCACAAUUCAAAAUAAGUUGCGAAAUGAAUUUUGUGUUUCAACUUUACAUAUUCUUUCUACAAAAUUAAUUUAAAAAAAUGAAAAUUUGGCAAAAAUGCCCCCUCUUUGUAUUAAUUAUAAAAUUACUACAUGUCUGGAAUUAUUACAAAAAUACGUGUUCUUUAUGAUAUUAAUUAAAAUAUUUGGAUAAAUACGGGGUUUGUUCUUGUUGUAUAGGUUUUCGUUUUCUCUUUCUUCUUCAUCAAAGUCGGUUUUUCUCUCCUCUCUCCUCACACUCUCUCUUUCGCACUAUCAUCUUUCUCCUCUCUGCUCGCAUUCUCUCUAUCAUCAUCAUUAUAUCAAUACCAAUUUUCUUGAUCGUGAUGAAAAUCAUGUUCCUAAAUUCAUAAACAGAGUUGUGACUACGGACUCGUGGUGACGAUAACGAGUACAGUAGCGUGUAGAGAUUGUGUUUGGAUAGAGAUUGUGAAAGUCAACAGUGAUAAGUUAAGGCGAGAUGGAGAUCAGAGAUUGUGUGUUGGGGGAAGAUUUGAUUCCGGUAAAGAAGUUACAAAAGUAUGUAAAAAUUAGGAAGACGGGCUUUUUUGAAUUGAUUUCGUGGUUACUUCUGUGAUAUAAAUAUUGGUCUCGUAGAGAUAGUCUAUUUGCAACCUCUUGUAAGUUGUAAUUUAUUAUAAAAGUAAAUAUAAUAUUCAACAUAUUUUUGUAAAGUUGUAUUUACGAUUGUAUAUAUGAUUGCUAGCAAUUGCAAAUAUGAUUGCAAAUGCAACUUUCGUGUUUUUUUCAAAUUUAGUUAAAAGACAAUACUUUCAUAUUUUUUUUAAAAAAGUGAUUGUGUUUUCGUAAAAACUAUUUUAAAUAUGGGUAUUUGUGAAAAAACCCCUCAAAUAAUUUAUAAAUUUAUUACAUGAAAGAUACUAAUUAAAGGAAUCCAUUUGUUUUAUUGUUAAGUAUCGAUAAAAAAAUAUUGUUAAGUAUCGAUAAAAAAAAAGUAUUGUUAUUGAAGAAAAUAACUAUUCACUCUAUCCCUCUGGAUAGUUUAUCUCGUGGGACUAGGUAUGGCACGCGUUUCUAAAAUUUUCACAAAAUGUAAUUCAUUAUUUUAGAUUUUUAAAAAUAAGAAUUUAACAUUUGAAUAUUUAUAAAAAAAAUAGAGUAUGAAAUUAUAUUUUAUAUAUAUCUUAAAAUAUGUGUCAAGUAUACAAAAAGCUGCAACAAAAAGAAUAUUUAAUAAUAAUUUUAUAUUUACGUGAGUUUGACAUUGUUCUUCGAGGCAAUACAAAAGUGUUAUUACUAAUAAAAAGGUGCUCUUGUUGAUAGUUUGUGAUCCUACAUAGAUGUAAGUAUAAUAUAAAAAAUUAUAAUUUGAUGAGGUUUAAUACUAUAAUUGCUUCUAGUAAAAAUUAAGAAAAGCAUUUUUUUUCCGGAAAAAUAUGACGGCAGCUUUCAUUUCUAGAUAAAAUUUAGGUCAAUAGUUGUUUUCCAGAAAGUUCUUUCUAAUUUUGCGAAAGAAAUUUUCACGUAUGCCUUAGCAGAGUCUGUGACUAAAAAACCAAAACAAUGGCCGAGUUGCACACCCUAGAAACUCUAUAAAAAAUGUUUUGAUUUGAGGUGAAAAAAAGAUGUUUACUACUCCCUCCCGUCCCAAUAGGUUCUGUAUGGGACGAGGAGUACUUGCUACUCCUGUUUUUAAAUAUUUGACAUUUGAUUUUUUGGCACAUAAUUUUAAAAGUUUUGAUUGCAUACUUAAAAUUAUUAUUUUUUAAAUUUUUUUUUAAUAAAAAUAUUAAUCUUAUAUUUUAAUUUACAAAAAAAAUUAAAAAUAUUAAUUUUAGCUAUGUGAUCAAUGCACUUAAAAAUAUACUUUUUUUUUUUUUUUGAGAGACUUAAAAAUAUACUUAUGCACAAAAUCAAAAGCAUAUUUGAAAACAUAAAGAGUACUAGAGUCCCGAUGCAAAGAGCCAAAAACAUCGGCACGGAGCAAGUUCUCGCGGGAGUGCGUGUUAAGUGGACCAUAUGGAAGCAUGCAUGUACUGUAAUCUGUAUAUAUCCACAAAAAAUGUUGAAAAUGCUCUGUCGCUCUUGUUUAUCUGAGAGCAUUUCUGAUAAACUCUUAGUUCACUCUUAAGUAUAUUACACUCUCUGAGUAUAUUACAAUAUAAAAUAUGGAUUUUUAGUAGAUUAAUGUGUGUUCAUCUUUUAUACUCCCUCCGUCCCAUUUUAAUUGCUUUUGACUUUUUUACACGUUUUAAGAUGUUAAAAAAAUCAUAUCUAGACAUAAUUAUUCUUUAUAAAAUUUAUAUCAAAUAAAAGUUUAGAAUCUAAACUUUUAUUUGAUAUAAGAAUUGAAUUUUUUUAUUGAGUAUAGAUAUUGUGUUUUCACACCUCAAUAUACGUGGGAGAAAGUCAAACAUCAGUUAAAAUGGGACAGAGGGAGUAAUACUCUUCAUAUUCACUUUUAUCCAUUUUUCCUAUUAUUCUUGUACUCUUAUGAUUGCAUAUUAUGUGGGUGUUUGGGAACCGGGUUUCUGGGCUUAAAAAUCUAUAAGCCCACUUCUUGCUUUAUUGCAGUCAGUGGCAGACCCAGAAAUUUUUCUCAGUGGAUUUCUUUUUUUAUUUUAUUAAUAUAAAUAAUAAAUAUUUAAUUAAAUAUUAAUAUUUAAAUUUUUCCAGAAUUUUUUCUCAGUGGGUUCCUUGUUUUAUUUUAUUAAUAUAAAUAAUAAAUAUUUAAUUAAAUAUUAAUAUUUAAAUUUUUGAUAUUAAUAUUAAAUGUUAAUUUGAAGAACACCGGAAACUAAAAAGUAUAUAUUUAGACAAAUAUCUUAAUAAAUACAAGAUUUUAAAUUAUUUGGAACACCAAUUGCGCCCAAUAGUUAAUAAGAUUUGUGAAUUAUUGAGGUAAAUUAUGAGUUUGAUAAAAAUUUUAGUGGGUUCCUGCUAAAUUUUAAAUUAAUUUUUAUCCGAAAUUUACCUUAUAAUUACAUUUCGGCGCGAAGUUGAGUGGGUGCCCGGGAACCCAUAGCCAAGGCUAUGGGUCCGCCCCUGAUUGCAGUGCGUUUGGUUAUUAAAAGCACUUAAAAUAGGUAAAAGAAGUCGGAGAAGAGACGUUACGAAAGCUGGCUUUUUUUUAGCCAUUAGCUUCUACUUCAUUUUUUUUUGACAAAAUGCAUUCAAUAAAACUCUCAAACAUAGUCAGGACAAUUCCCCAAACUGAUAAUACAACCUGAUUGGGAAAUAAAAUGAGUUAAAUAACUAGUCAUUCUAUUUUUAGAUCGCUUAACAAACAGAAUAUAAAUAUUCUUGACGAUAAAAAUGAUUAUAAAGGUUCCCAAAGCAAUCCAGUCGACACCAACAAUCUUGAAAAUGGUAGCAUCACAAUUGACCUGCGCACAUAAAAAACAGGUGAUAGUUCCGUGUUCAUACCCGUCAGUUACGCCAAUUGAGGUCGGAGAUACAGAUGUCCCGAUAUAUUGAACAAUCUUUUGUUGUGCAAGGUGAGCUUUUGCGAUAAUCACUAUCGUUUCAGAUUCAAAACUGGCUUCCCAGAUCUCCCGAUACACCAAUUGAAUCAUUAUCAACGGAUCAAAAUAACAAAACUGAACACAUCAAAACAUAUUAAAACACACCAAUCACUCCAAAAAGAGAGACACAAACCACUCCCAAACGAGAGACAUAAAACACCCAAAAAGAUGGAUGCAAGAAUCAAAAAUCUCACCCAAAAGAUGAAGAUUAUUGAAAAUUAUUGAAAGGAAAAACAAGAAAAACAAGAGCGAGGAUAAUAAGAUCUCUUUAUUUAGAUCGAGUGUAUGAAGGUAAAGGCGGAGGGGAGGCGGCGGGUGAGAAGAAAAAUGAGAGAAAUAGGGGGUCGACUUUCAUUAGGGAGGGUUUACAGGGAGAGCUUCUACUUCUUUCUUUUUUUUUUGACGAAAAAAGCAGAAUUACUCCAUUAAAUCAGCCAACAAAAUGGAACAUAAAUUGACAGGGACAGAUCCCCUAUCAAAAACUCGACCUGGAAAUGAGCAUGACUCCCUCGCUAAGAAGUGAGCAGCCAUGUUAGCAGAUCGUCUAAUAAAAAACAAUACUAUGUUUGAAUCUUUAAGCAUAUUUCGACACUCCAUAAUAACCUUGCCGAAAGGAGAUAACAUUGGCACCUUGCUCCUUAUUGCUUGCACUACUGUCAUACAAUCUGAUUCCACAGCUACAACAUCCCAUUUGUUUGUUUUGGACCAACUUAGAGCUUCUUUAACCGCGAUAGCUUCUGCUAGCUCUGGAUUCGCAUACUCCUGGUAAUGCUCCGAUCGUCCUAGAAUCACCUUCCCUUCCCAAUCUCGAGCCAGCAUACCAACACCAUAAGAUGAGGAUUCAGUAAAAGUUGCCGCAUCGACCGAUAUCUUGACUAUAUCUUUCUGUGGCUUCACCCAGUUACAUGCUCCAUCUCCUUCUUCUUCGAGCUGAAAUAGAGCCUUUGUAGAAAGUUUCUGAGUUUUUGUCCAAUCUGCAAGAUACUGCUUUGUCGAGUUAACUACUUCAUAAACCGACGACCUGACCUUAUUCCAUACAAAAUUAUUCCUAGCUUUCCAUAUAUUCCAACACAUCGUAACAAUUCCCGCAUAUUCAUCUUUUUCUGAAAGUCCCAGAAUUUUAUCCAGCCAUUCUGCAAAAAAUUCACACCUUGUAUCUACCCAUAACAGACCUUUGUCUCCCCAACACUGCGCUGCGAAGGGACAUUUAACGAGAGCAUGCAGAGUGGUCUCCUCUUCGCCAUUACAAACUGGACACAUUCUAUUAACAGGAACAUGCUUUCCAUGAAGAGCACUGAGCGUCGGUAAGCACUGUGCAAGAGCACGCCAAAUCAUAUUUAAAAUCUUAGGAGGAGCUUUGAUUUGCCAGACUUUGCGCCAUAAACUACCAUUAUCAGAAAUCUGCCAACGACCUUUUUGAACUUGUAACAUCCGAUAAGCACUUUCGACUGAAUAUUCACCCGAAUUAUCCUUGCACCAAUAUAAACUGUCUCCACUGGCUUCAUCAGUAAGAGUAAUCUUUUUGAUACACUGCUGAUCUCGAUUGUUAAAAAGGUCCGCCACAAUCUCAUCGUCCCAACAUCUCCCAUCCAUCCUCAUUAUAUUUGAUACCUUAGCUUGGUCCAGACCUUGUAGCUUCUACUUCUUUUAGUUUCCAAUGCUGUUGUUUAUUUUUUAUUCCUCAUAUUACAUCAAGUUAUCUCCAUGAUUGAAUAUAAGUAUUUUUUUUAUAUCUAAGAUUUUGUCUUCAAGUUUAUGAAAUACUCAAAUAUAUUAAUAUUAUAUAUUAAUAUUUAUAUAAAUUCUUUAACACACUUAUAGAUUACAUAAAUAGUUAAAUGUGAGACAUUUCAGUCCAUCACAAUAUAUAGUUUCAAAUUAUAAUUUCACUUAUUUACAUUAUUGAUUAUGAAUAAGUUAUAAUAACCGAAGUUUGGUUAAAUCAUUUCGUUCAUUCCUAAAUUAUAUUUUUAAUAUAAUCUUAAGAAAUAAAAAUGAAACUUAUAACAAAAUGUCAGACAAAGCAAACCAAAAAUCAUUUUUUAAUAUAAUAUAAAUAUUAAUCUAAUCUGAUAUUUUCAUCAACUUUUCUCAAUUUAUUUCGUAAAUAUCAAAUAAUUAUAUUACAAAACUACGAAAGUAUACCAACUUAUAAGUUAAGUUAUCCAAACACUUAAAAAACUUAUAAGUCACGUAUCCAAACACUUAUAGUAGCAUAUAAGUUUAAACCAACUUCCACUUCUAAUCCAUUUUUUUAUUUUAAACAAUAAAUCACUCUUUUUAAGCCCAACCAAACGGCCCCUAUGUUUAAUAUUAUCUUCCUCUCUCUUUAAAUACAUGUCUAAGUCUCUAAGAACUAGACAAGUAUUUAUGUGAGAUUUUAAAAGAGAAUUCAGUAAUUUAAACGAAAUAUAAUAUUUUUCGAUCUUAUUGUAUAAUUUAGUCUCGUCUUUGAGUCUUUAUCUGCCACCCGAUGUGUCCUACGUGAUUGUAUAUAUGAUAUAGAAGCGAGACACACGUUGAAGACUCUUAUAAAAUAUAUUUAUAUAAUUUCUAAUUUUUUUCUUCUAAAUAGAAUUUUUGUUAAUUUCUAUUCAGAAACAUUUUUUUUAAAAUUAAGUUAUGAAAUUAUAUUUUAUGAAAAUUUUAAAAUAUAUGUGAAAUAAUAUAAAAAGCUGCAUACAAAUAAGUAAGACGGAGACAAACUAUUUUAUUAUUAUGUAAUGUGUUCGUUUUUAGAAUUAAUUUCUAAAUACUUAAUAUAUGUGUCGAGAAUCUAAAAAAAAAAUUUAGGGGAGUUUACUAAACCGGUAUAUAUAUUUUUAAUCGAAAUCCUAGAAUUUGAUGAGAGAUAUAAAAUUAAAACUUAUGUAGCCAUCAAUUUAUCACAGUUUUGAUCAUGUGUAUAAGAAGUAUCUCGUGGAAACUCUGUAUAUCAGUGAAUAUAUAAUCAAAGAUCUUUUACUUUCUGUCAAAAAAAAAAAAAAAAAAAAAAAAAAGAUUUUAAAAAAAAAAAAAAAAAAAAAAAAAAAAAAGAUCUUUUACUUCGAUUUAAGCAUAUCUGUGACACAAAUUUAAAUGUAUCUAUCCUUUUCGCUAAGUCAACAAAAUAAAUCUAAAUAACUUAUUAACGGAUAUUUAAAAUAUAAAAUACUAUUUAUUAACUGUAUAUUGUAAUAAGAUAUGGAAAUAAUGCAGACAAACAUAUCCUUCACUUGAUUUAAUUAUGGACCCACUUCCAUUUAACUCAUCUUUCUUAUUGGACCAAUUGGCUUGACAUUUAUGAAAACGACGACGUUUCACAACCAAACUGGCCACAACGCUGUCGUUUUCACCACUACACAAAUUUAUUUAUAAUUUUAAUAUAUGAGCAUUUUAAUGGGGAGCAUCUGGUUUUGUAUUCCCAACCAACAGUAGCUGCAAUCUUUUUGGUCUCCCAAUUGUAAAAGAGAGUGGAAGAACAAUACAAGAUAAAGAAAAAGUUUCAAUCUUUUGCUUAAAAAUUUAAUCUUUAAUUUGUUUUCUUUGGUUCGUGCUCUCUGCUGCCUCCAUUACUAGUUUCUUGAUCUGGGGUUGUUUAAUUAAGCUUGAAAUUUAGUGGGUCUGGCUUUGAUUUUUGUUUAGGGCUGAUUGGCACUUUUUCAAGAUCCAUUUAAUUGUAUAAAAGGUAUGUUUCUAUCUUUCUUUCUUUAUGUUUUUGUAUUGUAUGUGUUUUUUUAGUAUUAGAUUAGGUAAAAGAUUAAUGUGGGAUUGUUAAGUUGAGAUCUUAUGUAUACUUUAAUAAGUUAUUAAAGUAAUUUUUGUUUGAUUUUCAACUGAUGAUUACUGUAUGUGUUUCUUGAUUUUUAGGUUGAAAUUGAAGCAUGUGAAGGGAAGUUGUAAUGUUUAUAUAUUUAAUAAGAUGUGUUUUUUGUUGAUUUAAAUGUUGUGAAGUGGUUGGUUUUGUGAUUUGGGGGUGAGGUUAAAAGCUUUGUUUUAGUGGAGUAAUACCUGUAUUUUUGGAUUAUUGGGUAAGUUUGGUUGGUGUAUACCUAUCUGGCUACUGUGGAGAUCUGGGAAAUUUUUCAGCUUUUAUGCCCUAUGAAGAGGGCAUUUUUCCCUUCCGAAUCAUGUAAAGAUACACAUUUUAAUCCGGUUAUACCCCAAUCUUGGCUUCAAGUCGAAAGAGGGAAGCUUUCCAAAUUUUCAGCGCAGUCUCCUUCGUCUAUGUAAGCUACCAAUUACUGUUUUUAAUUUUGUUAUAAGUCUUUGUUUUUUUAGCUUUAUGUGAUCUUAUAGUUGAAGUAAUGGAUAUGUUUUGGUUGUUGAAUGUUGAUGUUUGUAGAGAAUCUUUUAUUAAGGUCCAAGAACCACAAAUUCUUCCAUUCUUUAAGCCUGUUGAUUAUGUAGAAGUUUUAGCUCAAAUUCAUGAAGAACUCGAGUCGUGUCCUCCACAUGAGAGGUCAAACCUGUAUCUACUUCAGUUUCAGGUAUUUAAGGGGCUUGGUGAAGUCAAACUGAUGAGGCGAAGUCUCCGAUCAGCUUGGGUUAAGUCAAGCACUGUGCAUGAGAAACUUGUGUUUGGGGCAUGGUUAAAAUAUGAGAAGCAAGGAGAAGAACUUAUUUCAGACUUGCUUUCCUCAUGUGGCAAGUGUGUAAAAGAGUUUGGAAUGAUGGACAUUGCUUCUGAACUUCCUAGUGAUAAAAAAUCAUAUAAUAUAAAAGACAGCAAGGCAAAUGAGAAACAUGUCCCAAGAAAUGUCUCUUUUCGGAUUGGUAACGAGACUAUACAGUGUGACAGGCAGAAAAUUGCUAGGCUUUCAGCCCCGUUUCGUGCCAUGCUAACUGGGUGUUUUGCUGAAUCACAUCAUGAAGACAUAGAUUUUUCUGAAAACAGUGUUUCUGCUGCUGGAAUGAGAGUGAUCAGUGCCUUCAGCCAAACUGGAUGUUUGGAUGAGGUCCACCCAGAUCUUCUGUUAGAAAUAUUGAUAUUUGCCAACAAAUUUUGCUGCGAAAAGCUUAAGGAUGCUUGUGACAGGGAACUUGCUUGUCUGGUUUCCUCUAGGCAAGAUGCUAUGCAACUCAUGGAAUAUGCUCUUGAAGAAAACUCCCCUGUUCUUGCUGCAUCAUGUUUGCAAGUUUUCUUACACGAUCUUCCUGACUCUUUAAAUGACAACCGCAUGGUUGAAUUUUUAACACAUGCUAAUAGGCAACAUAAGUUAAUCAUGGCUGGUUCAGCUUCAUUUUCACUCUACUGUUUCUUAGGCGAAGUGGCCAUGAAUGUGGAUCCUACCUCAGAUGUAGCAGCCCUUUUAUUAGAACAACUAUUAGAUUCUGCUGAGAAUCACAGACAGAGAGUGGUAGCAUAUCAUCGGUUGGGAUGUGUAAAACUUCUGAGAAAAGAGUACGAUGAAGCUGAACGGCUAUUUCAGGCUGCUUAUGAUGAAGGACAUAUAUAUUCUGUUGUUGGGUUGGCCAGACUGGCCAACAUCAGGGGCAAAAAAAAUUGUUCUUUUGAGAAACUGACCGGCAUUAUUUCUUCUUGUACACCACUUGGAUGGAUGUUCCAGGAACGUUCACUGUACACCGAAGGUGAUGAUAGGUGGCAAGAUCUUGAAAAAGCCACUGAAUUGGACCCCACACUCAAUUUCCCUUACAUGUAUCGAGCCGCAUCCUUAAUGAGGAAAGAAAACGUUCAGUCUGCUCUUGCAGAAAUUAAUCGGAUACUCGGUUUCAAGUUGGCAUUAGAGUGUUUGGAGCUCCGGUUUUGCUUCUACCUAGCCCUUGAGGACUAUAAAUCAGCCAUUUGUGAUGUCCAAGCAAUUCUUACACUUAACCCAAAUUAUAGGAUGUUUGAAGGACGUGUUGCUGCAUCCCAGCUUCGCACCCUUGUACGUGAACAUGUUCCUAACUGGACAACUGCAGAUUGUUGGCUGCAAUUAUAUGAUCGAUGGUCUUCAGUUGAUGAUAUUGGAUCCCUCUCUGUAAUAUACCAGAUGCUUGAAUCUGAUGCUGCUAAAGGUGUUCUAUACUUCAGACAGUCUUUGCUUCUCCUUAGGUAUAUUCCUUUACUCUGCUUCAUUUAGGCCUUUAAUGUUUAUAUAUUAUGGUUAUUAGUUUUUGACUAGGAUAGUAGGAUUUUGUUAGGAAUGAGGCCUGGGUAUGAAAUAAUUAUAUCUCAAAUUAAGUACUUUAACCUUAUGUGGAAUUAUUUACCUACUUAUUGGAUAUGUUAAGAUACUGAUGGUGCUGCCUCACUGUUUGACACUUUGUCACCUACGAACACACACACAGAUAGAUUCAUGAGUAUGUUCUAUAGCUCUUGACGUAAAAGCAUGUCUAUCUUGAAUCUGUGAUCUUUUGAUAGGCACAAUAUGCCAUUAUAUGUUACUGUGAUGUGAUAGUCUCUUGCAAGGAAUCAAAGUUUCCAUCUUACAAUCUUACCUCUGCUGUAUAUUUCCUUGAGGAAUUGCUAAAGCGCAUUACUCUGGCCUCUUUCAGUUACUGAUUCAUUAUACUAGAUUACCAGAAGACACCGAAUGGUCUUUAGUGAUAAACUAUGAGAACCAAAGCAUGAGAGCAAUAGUUUUAUAUUUACAUGAUCUUAGCACACAUACAUGCAAUUAAGGCAUAGAAAUUGACCCAAGACUACACAAAUGUUACUUCUACUAUACUUAUCAUUAUUGGUUAUUAUUAGUUUGACUUUUUGGAAUGCUAAAAGCUUAGAUUUCAAUUCUCUUUGGUCUUCCAGAUUGUUUUUUUAUGAACGUGUGUUUGCUUUUUAAUACUCCCUCCGUUUCAAUUUACAUGUCCACUUUUAAUAAAUAAAUUUGUUUCAAAUUACAUGUCCACUUCAACUUUCAAUGCAAAAUCAUAUUUCCAAAAUUAAUUCUACUCCACAUAUCUCUUUUUUAUAUUUCCUAGAUCAAUCUCACUCCACAUAUUUUGAUCAUUUAAUGCAAUUAAUUUGUGAACCACCACUUUUCUUAAAUUGUGUAAUUUUUUUAAAGUGGACAUCUAAUUUGAAACGGAGGGAGUAUGUAUUUUGCUUCAUGGUGACUAAUAAUCUAAUACGAUGUUAUCGUUGCUUCUUCACUGGUUUACAGAUUAAGCUGUCCUGAAGCAGCCAUGCGAAGUUUGCAGUUGGCUCGCCAGCAUGCAUCAAGUGAACAUGAACGUUUAGUUUACGAGGGAUGGAUAUUAUAUGAUACAGGUCAUUGUGAUGAAGGACUGCGAAAAGCUGAAGAGUCUAUAGCCCUCAAGAGAUCUUUUGAAGCCUUCUUUCUGAAGGCCUAUGCAUUAGCUGACUCUAGUCCAGAUCCGUCUUGUUCUUCUGCCGUUGUCUCUCUUCUUCAAGAUGCCUUAAAGUGUCCCUCAGAUAGGCUACGAAAAGGACAGGUAUUUAUCUUUCAAAACCUGUUGUAGUCUUCAAGUACUUAAAUCCUUAUCACAUAUCAAAACAAAACAGAGUUUAUAAAUUAUACUAUCUGGGUGAUGAAGACUUGACAAAGACAGACAGAUAAAAACUUCAACAAAGUUCAACAUAUCUGACCUCUGUCUAUAUGCCCCGGUUGAUUAGGGCUUGCUAAUAAAAAUUAAGUUGUGUCUUCACUUUAUUCUAGUCAUAGGAUAUAAAUAUUUCCUGUGGACAUGAUUCCUAAGGUUAUAUUAUUCUGAAUCUUUGAUUUUCCAGGCCUUGAACAAUCUGGGCAGUGUUUAUGUUGAUAGCGGAAAGUUAGACUUAGCAGCUGAUUGCUACAUCAAUGCCUUGAAAAUUCGUCACACUCGAGCACACCAAGGCUUAGCUCGUGUUCAUUUCCUUAGAAAUGACAAGGCCGCUGCAUAUGAGGAAAUGACCAAACUGAUUGAAAAGGCCCGGAAUAAUGCAUCUGCUUAUGAAAAGAGAUCAGAGUACUGCGAACGAGACGAGACAAAGGCAGAUCUAGAGAUGGUCACCUUUUUAGAUCCACUUCGAGUAUAUCCGUACAGAUAUCGAGCUGCAGGUCAGAUCACCUACCCUCAGUUUAGCUCAUUGUAGGUCCUUUAGUUCUCAUUAUGUCGACUGAACAAGUUGCAAGCCUUGAACCAACAAAUUUUACCUUCUACAAAAGUAGUUACCUGAAUCAUACAGAAGAGAAUUAAGCAAAAAUUAUUUUGUUCUAAACUUCACAUAAUGGUUGCAAGAUCACUCUGACAGUGUCUCUGCUAUUUUUAGUAGAGCAUUAAGUAGAACUUCGUUGUGACCCUGCUUGUAUAGAUUUCCUUGUUUGUCAAUUUUACCACGGAAAUGAUCACAUGAACAGGUAAUUGGUUCUGCAUAUAAAACUAAAGAUAAUUAGAGUAAUUUUUGUUGGAGAAAAAGAAAAGGACGAAAUGCUUAUGGUAACUGAUCUUUAACUUGGACAACAAUAGUUAUAGCUACUUCAGCAUUAGCAUGAAGCAUAGAUUCUAUCUUUUAGUAUAAACCAUUUCUUAGCAUUAGACUACUUGCCAUGCCCCAAGGGCAUUACAAUCUUUUCCUUCCAGUUUUUCCCAUGCAUCUAUGCUUCUAAAGUGCGUAAAAUGUUACACUCACUUUCACUGCUCUUACAGUUUUAAUGGACAACCAGAACGAGAAAGAAGCCAUAGCCGAACUAACGAGGGCUAUUGCAUUCAAAGCAGACCUUCACCUUCUACAUCUACGCGCAGCUUUUCAUGAGCACAUUGGUGAUGUUCUUGGCGCCUUACGAGACUGUCGAGCUGCUCUCUCAGUUGACCCAAAUCAUCAAGAGAUGCUGGAACUGCAUAGCCGAGUAAACAGCCAAGAGCCAUGAACCAAACACAAAUAGAAGAAAUGGUCUAUAGAAUUGGAAGGUGGGGGAGUGAAAAUUUAUCUAUUUUGAAAUGUUGUCACUGGUCUAUGAUUCUAGUGAAAUACAUGUCUUGUUUUCCUCUUUUUACUUCUAAAGUCUUGUAACUGUCUUUACCCAUUUUGGCACAUACAGAUUAGUCAAAAUUGAAAUCGGUGUUGGCUUCUUAUUAUAUUAUUUUCAACUUGUUUCUGAUGCAUAAUUUUCCAUAGCAUUUUACCUAAAAGUUAAAAAUGCCCACAAAAAUAUGAAUUACGACAUAAAAUUUGUCAUUACGACUGUGAUAUAAUAAUUUAUUUUUGAAAAAUAGUUUUAUGUCAAAUUGGGGUAAAAAAGUUCCAUUGCCGGGAAUCGAACCCGGGUCUCCUGGGUGAAAGCCAGAUAUCCUAACCGCUGGACGACAAUGGAUUAUGAGAGGAAAAUGCUUAGUUUCUUAUAUAACUUACUGAUUUCAUAAAUGGCAGGGUGGUGUGAAAUGUUUGCGACCGACACGAUGUUUAUAUUAUUUUUCAUUUGCUCUUGUUAGUUGUUAAAUAAACACCUUGCAAGAUUAUUUCCCAAAGUGUCCGGGCCCUUUUGACUUUUAAACAGAAAUGAGAAUCAGUAAUUAAUCGAAGGAUACGAAAUACUAAAAAUUUCAUUCUAAUGGUGCGAGUUAAAUUUUGAAAUUACACUAACAAAGAAAAAUAACAGACAACAUAUGAUUGGUUGGGAGACAAUAAAAGAUUGGUAACAUAUGAUUGAUAGUAUGACUUCCUCAAUUGAAAGUUCAUCGAGCUCUUUUCAAACUAGGAGCAUGAAGGGAUUGGUAGAGGAUUCCAACUGACCUCGUUUUGAUAGGUAAAAACAGACUGUUAGUUUACUAACAACUGAUUUUGUAAGAUUUAUAAGUGAUCCAGAUCAGAUAAUUGACAUAUUGAUAUGAGAUGUUUGUCACUCUACCAUCAUGAUAAGUGAUUCGACUUAAAAUUUUAAAAGUCUAUUAAAUCUAAGGCGAGAACCCAAAUUUAUGGAUGAUAAACCCGAAUUUUAUUAGAAUCGCUCUUCUUGCAAGCAAAUUUUAAUUCUAUGUACAAUUAUAUUAUUGCUUAAUGAUAAUACCAUUCUCGCUAAUUUAUGUUAAACGAAUUGUUUUAUGAUAUGAAAUACAUUGAUCGUUUUAUCUGUCAUAUAUUAAUAAAAUAUACAACGAUAUGAUGUAUAUAAAUACCUUCUCUACCCACACCAUAUAUCAGUGUGGAGAUUUAUAAAAUUAUUAUGAUUGAAAAAAAAUUAUGCCUCACAAUAAAAUUAAAAGAAGUAUAAGACCAACAAAAAAAACUAUUAAAUAACUAUUCUAAGGAUUUCAGAUAGUAGGUGUAAGACAAAUCAUAUAUCAAUAUAGCGAGCUCCCGAAAUAUUGUUCUAUGUAUCGAUAUUCUCUCUUUUAAGUCAUCGAAAAAUAACUUUUUGUUUCUAAUAAAAAGGUUAUGAACAUUAAUCAUAUCUCAUUUUUUAUGUUAUCUCUGAUAAUCAUGACUCUAAUCUAGAAUGACAAUCGGGCCGGAUGAAAUUGGAUAUGUCUAUAUCUAAAAAAUAAUACCCAAACGCGAUCCGACGGAUUUCGAGAUGGAUUCGGCUAUUUUUGAAACGCAAAAUAUUUGGCUUGAAUAUCCAAAAUACCUAAAACCCGAAACUUGACAUCCGAAAUUAAAAUUUUAAUACAAUAAUAACAUUGUACUAAAUAAUAUUGGAAAAUAAGCAUCUUAUUUAUUUGAAGAUUACAGUACACAAAUGUACAUCAAUUAAUAAUCAUUCAACAUCUCGUCGAGUUUAUAAUUUCUAAUUAAUUUCGAAUAUUCAUUUUAACCAGAGCUUCUAUUUGAAGAAAUGUAUUUAUUUUAAACCAUGUUAUCUAACCAGAGUUACUGGGAAUGGACGGGGUGACUGUAAUUUACUUACAAGACAUCCGUUUAGGUUUUUGGAUUUCUUAAAAGGUUCGCUGUGUAAAACUUAAAUAUCAAUAACUCCAUCCUCCCCUAAGUAUUGAAUUCGGGAAUUAAUAUAUCUGCCAUGAGAUGUAGGUUUUAGCUUUAAUGAUCCGAGUUCCUGCGCAGCAUAAAGAAAGCAGCUGACAAUUUUAUGAAAAGAACCAAAUCUACAAUUAACUAGUAGGUGUCAUAUAAAAUGCAUGUAAAUCUGGCUGAUGAGUGUGAAUGUAAAAAUAAUGUUGCACCUAGCUGCUGCCUACAGCCUAUACAUACAUGCAUAACACACACAUUGUACGUCUAAAAACCAAGGUUAUAAAAAUCGGAACUCGGUCCACUCGGUUUGGUUUCGGAAAAAUGAGUACUCGGAACUCGGGAGAGUACUCGGAAUGAGUUAUCGGAUUACUAAUCGGGUAUUUUUUUUAAUUAAUUUUUUUCUCAUAUAUGGUUAUAUACUGAUUAAUAAUAAAACUAUAUGAUAAAAUUAAUAUUUUAAUAACACACUUGAAAUAAUGAAGUUCAAAUAAAAGUUACUUGUUUAAUAGUUUUUGACAUAAUAAUCAUUCACAGGUUUUAAUGAUAAAACACACAUACUUUUUAAUUAAUGUCAAUAUUUUAUAAAGAAAGACCAAAACAUAUAUAAAUUUACGUUUAUUCUCUUUUGAAAUAAUUUUCAAAUAAAACAAUAAAAAAUUGAUAAGUGAAACUCGGAUUUGACCUCGAGUGCUCGGAGUCAAACCGAGUUUUGACCGAUUUUUUUAUAAAUCGGUUUUGAACCCGAUUACUCGGAACUCGGAUCGGACGAGGGGUUAAAAACGAGUACUCGGAAUGAGUACUCGGCUGACUCGGCGAUUUUUAGAACACGGCUAAAAACACACACUAGAAUGAUUUUUUCAUUGCUCCAUGUGGGUUGCUGCUGGUUAAAAUUUAAACGAAUCAGUCCUUGGGUACCUGAGUGGUGAGAUUUUGUGCUAGUAGGGUUAGCAUACCAAGGAAAAUUUAAAAGAAUAUGAAUAGAUAUGACUGUGAUAUAUGCAUAGGGUUUCAGAAGUAAUUCAAAAUGUAAAUAGUAUACAGUCUGUAAAAAUAAGAAAAUAAACGAGGAGGACCACUCCAUCUCUUAGCCUACCACUGAUAUGUAGCUCUGCAUGCUAUAUAAGCUACUACUACUUCGAGAUUGGGAAAUUUCAAACUUGGCUUGUUUAGAUUUAGUGCGCGUUUGUUUCGGACUUAUAAGUCCAGCUUUUGAAUUAUAAGUUAUGAGCACUUAUUCGUAUCGUUUGUGUAAUAAGUCGAAAAACACUUAUAAAAAGCUAAGAAUGCUAGCUUUUGUUUCAGGGCUUCUACUUAUUUCCCAAACACUUUAAUCACUUAUAAGUCUUAUUUUGUUUCUAACUUCUACUCCACUUAUUUAUUUUAAGUAAGAAGCACUUAUUUUAAGUUCACCCAAACGGCCCCUUCAUUUAUGCUAAAGGUCUUCUUGAUCAAGAUUAAGCUCUCAAUUAAUUAGCAUGUCAAAUACUUAAUACAUGUUGCCAUAAGUAAUAUUAGUGUCAUAGGAGUAUACAAAUACAGCAGCUUUGAUUUAUGCUAGGGAGGAGAUGCCAAAAUCAAAAGUAAACGUCCAAAUUAUAAAUAGUUAAUUGCAGUGUUUAACAGGAGCAGAAUAGUCUAGUGCAUGUUUUAAGGUGCAUAAAUAAUUAAGAUUAUCACAUGUAAUCACGUUUCCAUGUGUUGACCUUUUCAAUAUCCAGUUUUGCUAGCUCACAUUUUCCAUUAUAUAUCCUCUCGCUGUCGCGAACCUUCAUUCGUUAAUGUACUUGGUCAAUUGAUUGGGGAAAUGAUAAAUGAAUUCGAAUCUUAUUUUUGUCCUUUGGCGCAACAUGAAGUUAAUGUCCCGACCAGCUUUGUGAUGAACGUUUUGAAUUUGCAUCAGGCCUUUCCACAUGAGCCCACUUUGGAGCAUCCGAAGAGUUCUUAGUAAAAAAGAACGAGUUAACAUAUGAAAAAAAAAAUUAUAGAUAAUCAUUUUAAAAAAUCACACUUCAAUCGUAUACAUCACUUAUCUAUAAUUUAAAAAAAUCCUAAUAAUUAUAUUUGUCGAGCUGGUAAUUAACUACACAUCAUUUAUUACUAUAUAUAUUAAAUUAAUAUAUUUUAUUUAUAAUAAUUUAAAUAUUAAUAACAUAUUAUUUUAAAAUUAUAGUCAACCAAUAUAUUCAAUAUCAUCGAUGUACAAUGUCUCGGACGUUCAAUAAAUUUUACAUAAAGUCUUAUAGUUUCAAUUUAGCAAUGAUUAUACCCAACUCACCAAAGUCGUUUGGUUCGCCGAUUAGUGUGAGGUUGAAAUGAGGAAUCGUGUUAAAUCGGUGUAGGAUUAAGUAUCAUAUCUGUCUGUUUGGUUGAAUACUGGAGUCGAUAUAUUCUUUUUUUUAAUUUAUUAAUUAUAUUAAUUAAAAAUAUUAAUAAAAUUAUUAUGAUGAUAUGUUUUUGCCGCAUUGCCGAUUGUUGUAUUAAAUAUUAAUAUUUAAUCAGUUAAAUACAGACAAAAAAAUCAAAAAUGAAAUUGAUUGUCAUACAUUCAUCUCAUACCCACCUUCCCUCCUAAGUAUUAAAAACAUAUAUCUUAGGGUUUCAGAUAUAAGUUUUAAGUAAAAUCUAGUUUUUUAGCAGAAAAAACCAUAAGCGCUUGUGCUCAAACAAGCUCUGCAUAAUGCUAGCUUAUAAAUAUUUAAAAUUUUAUCGUUUAUAUCUUAAAUUUAAUUGAAGUCAAAUAAUCAAAUAGAUAAUAUAUCUAUAUUAUUACUUUAAAAUGAUAAUAUGAAAUAAUUAUAAAUAACAUUAAUGUAUUUAGUUCAAACAUAUCAUCGUUGUAUAUUAAUAAUUAUUAUAUAAUAAUAUUAUUUUUUUUAUAUGUAUGGAAAAUCGGUUUUUAGUUAGAAAUCUAAAAAAGAUAAUGUGUUUUAGUUAAAAAAGGUAUUCCCUCUGUCCCUCUCAUUUCUUUAAGUUACUUUUUGGCACGCUUUUCCACUUUCAUUUAAAGUAUAGUUCCACAAUAUAUUUUUUUAAUUUUUUUUCGCUGAAUAAAAGUUUGAUGUUUAAACUUUUAUUCCAAAAAAGAAAAUUUUAGAAAUAAAUUAUUAAACUAUACUUUAUACGAGUCUCAAAAUGCGUGCAAACAGUGAACGUAAACAACCUAGGGGGACGGAGGGAGUAGUUGUUAUGUUAUCAGAUGUUAUGUUUAGAAAAUUGAGUUUUUUUAUUUAGAAAAUAUAGAAGAAUAAUAAUUUUAAUUAAAAAAGAUAUUAAUUAUUAAAAAGGCGAAAAUUCAGCUUAAGUAGGGACCGACGUACCAAACUUUUAACGUUGUGACUUUAAUAGUAUAAUAUUGAUACUAUUUACACUAAUAUAUACUCCCUCCGUCCCUCUGAGUUAUAUAGGGGGACGGGGACGCGGCACGGAUUUUAAUGCUCCUGAAAAGUAUAGUUCUAUAACUUAUUUUUAAGAUUUUUCUUUUCUGAAUAAAAGUUUGAAUGUUAUAUUUUUAUUCAGAAAAAGAAAAUUUCAAAAAUAAGUUAUAGAACUAUAUUUUAUAAGAGCAUUGAAGUGCGUGUCGAGCAGUGAAAAAGAAACGUAUAGAAUUAAAUGAGACAGAGGGAGUAUAACAUUUGAACUAAUUUUAGACUUUUAGUGCCUAAUUGUAAUUUUUGAAUAUUCCCAGGUCUUGGUCCGAAACUUUAAAAUGAAAUGGGACUCAUGCUAGCCCUAGCUAGCAGCAAGAGUGCAAGAGUCUUAGCAGCAGUAGCCCAGUCCUCUCUGCCUCUAACCCUAGUAGCCAGCUAAUUGAGUACACACAGAGCUGGUGUAUGAACACAUUGAAACAGUAGUCCAAAUUAAUUGUGUAUGUGGAGUCACCCCGGCCCAGACAGGCUCCCUGCCAGGCCGCCCUAGUCUUCUACCACCUGUUAACUUUAAACAAGAAAUUACUGUGCCCUCUUAGCUGUUUAGUUCACUUUCACUCUCUUUCUUAGCUGCCCACAUGCACCCCCCGAGUACUUAAUUGUUUUCUCAUUAAUUAAUUUACUGUCUGUGAAAUGUCAACUCUCUUGCUAAGUCUCAAUAUGUCCAGGUUCACCACUAUAAAUAAUACUGUAACUGUACUGCCCCCUUCAUCUUCAACUUAUCCUCCAUCAAACCUCUCUUUGCUUUCCCACCACUAUUUCCUAAUCUCCUACAUGUUUAAUUUUAGUUUUUUUCAUGUCCCCAAGGGAAUAAGUGAAGCUGCCAGCAUGAUCUAUCUAGCUAGCCUUGGUUUUGGCAUUACAUUGUUUGAUGGUUUGGUCUAGUUUGAGCAUGAGAUUCAUAUGUUUUAUGUACAUGUAAAGCAACCCUUGCUGGCUAGUUAGGUCAUGCUCGGACAGCCUCACUCAUUCCUGUUUGGAGGACCCAGAAGAUAGAUUUGAGGUAAAAUCAAACAGAAGAAUCACUGUAAGUACAUUUCUUCUUCUAUGCAACACUUGAUAGUGCUUUUUGUUUUGUGAUAAAAUUUAUGCGCGCGUGUGCAUAUGUGUCCGUACAGUAUUUAACAUAUUGCAAUGUCGAAACCAAUUAAUUGUAGAUCUUCAGAACCUUUUUUCAUAAUAAGAAAUUUCUCCGGAAGUUACUAAUUUAAUUUAUAUUCAUUAAAUUGUAGUGUGUGUAAAUGUUAUUACAGGGGCAAGUGCAUGCACAGACAACCCGGUGGCCAGUAAGGAAGUGAAUCAAGUGAAUAAGAAGCAAGCUAGGGGAUUCUCAUCUUGUCGAACCACUCAAAGGCAACAACUAUUCUACCCAACGCCCAGACUGGAGUUCUCCGGAAGUUACUAAUUUAAUUUAUAAAAUAUCUAUAAUAGUAAUUGACAAGUGAUUGUUGAAAUUAGCAGUUUUUCUAGCAGUGAACUUUUCCGCGUAUUUAAAAAACUUAUUCCAUGUAUUCAUAAAAAAAAAUUAGGUAUUAUGUCUUUCGACUAUAAUAUUCCAUCAAUUCUUAAGAUGCGGGCCUUUAAAAUUUUCCUCUAGAACGUUUAAUACCAAUUCAUUCUCGUCACAAGUAACAGAUGGUUUGUAUUGCGUAUUUGUUUUUGGAUUUACAAUUAAUGUUUAAGAUGAAUAAUACAAAUCAAUAAUGUAAUUACAUAUUAGAUAUUUUUACACAAAAUGGAUAACUAUAAUAGAACCAUAUUUUUAAGAUGCCUCAAGAAUAGUUUAAUGCACAAAUUAAGCUUAUAUUAACAAGGUCGACUACAGAAAGAAACAAGUGAUUGAGAUCCUAAAACUAAGAAACUCCAGAGGAGUGUGCUUGUUGGUAGUGUAGUGGUGUGAUCCUAUUUAAAACGCCUGGUGCAAGCUAGGACCACUGUCAGCCAUCUGCUUUUGGCUAGCUCACCAAUUUUCUUGUAAUACUUUUCAGUCCCUAAUAAUAUCAAAAUUAUUAUUAAACCAGCAGUGCAGUACUACUAUUGCUAGCUAGCACCAAUUGCAAGAAUAUAUUGCAUCUUCUUCCUUGCUGCUUCCUCUAUAUAUGUCCCUUUCCUUUGCUCUUUAACAAUAAUUCGAGGCAACAUGAAAUACUCUCCUUCCUUCACUCAGUCUGUCUAUAGUUCUCACAUAGUAAUAUUCGGUUAUUUUCAAGUUUUUGUUAGGUAAUGUGAAUUGUGAUGCACCAAAAGUUGAAGCUGCCAGCAUGAUCUUAACUUUCCGAGAGCAAUGAGGAAAGAUCAGAUCAUAUGGCUGCUUCAUCUGUUGAUGGUAUCACACCAGUGUGACCUCCACAAUGAAUGACUCGACCCGGAGAGGAAUCGAGCUGUUCGUGAACAAACUCGAGUUUAAGUACGACUCGACCGGUUCGGUUCCUGUUCUUUUAUGACAGGAGAAUAUUUGAAUAUAUUUAUAGAGAUAUAUUCGUGUAUGUUAUGAUUCCCACCUUCCAACUUGUGAAAGGAAACCCUAGGGGAGUAGGCAGCUAGGAUGGCUUAUGCUAGCUUAAUUCAAAUGCAUGAGUCUCUAUAACAGUACAGUACAAGAGGGUACGAUGUCUUUAAAUUAUUUGGCAGCAAUUUUUUGUGAGUACUAUUCACCCUUGUGAAAGAAGAGUUGUUACUGUUUAUGAUCAAGGAAAUGUACAACGGAUCCAAACUCUUCAUUUAUUUGUAGAUUCUUGACAUCUUAUCGACAGAGAUUUCAAGUCUUCCCAUUUUUAAACUGUUAUUCAAUUGGCCUGAGUUCAAAUCGAGUCAAAUUUUCCUUCGUGUUUUCCUCCAAAUACCAAACAGGCUCGUGUAAGUUUCAAGAACUAAAAAAAUUCUCAUGGCCUUGCGGAUAAUUUAAUUAGUCGAUACGAUAAGAUAGCUCAGGUAGCAAGGGCUUAUGUCUUGAGGUAGCUCAGCUCAAUUAGUGAGAGCUUAUCUCUUGUAGUCCAGUUCGAUCCUCAUUCAUAGAUUUGUAACAAGGGUUUUUGUGACAAUGGGCAUACAAUAAACACUGUCCAUCAACAUUUAUGAUUGAAAAAGCAAUCAAAAUUUGACACAUAACUACUUACCGUAUGUCAAUGAACACACUAUAGAAAAAUCGUGAUAACAAAUAGUCUGCUUCAUAAGUAUUGGAAGCAAGUCAUAGCCUUCACAAUGCUUUUAGUAAAAGAGAGUAGUGAGAACCCCAGCACAGUCUUUCAGCUGUGGCAUUAAUAGCAGAUAGUAGUAGCUUUGCAAUGUAAAGUACUUCAUUUCCUCGUCUAUUGUCUGAACAAAUCAUGAAACAAUAACAUAUAUCAGAGCCCAUUCUUGCACAUGUGAAACAGUGAAAGCAUGUCCUCUAGUUGCUAGUCUCAUUUUGAGGUUUAGUUGAGCAGCCUUCAAUUCACCUAAACUAACAGAGGAUCAAGGGGACAAAGAAAUUAGUCUCUUAACAAUGCUUUUCCAGCUCUCUCUACUCUACAAGACAUGAUUCCUGCAAGUGUUGAGUUCUAUUAUUAUGUACUAUGUUAGCCUCAUGAGUAAAGACUUUAUCUUACCCUCAUGAGUAAAGACUUGAUCGAGUUGCAACUACUAGUCUUCUAGACUGGACUGGGUGUUUGUCUAAAAUCGAAGCACUCAUAAAUAAGGAAAUGAAACAAAAGUCAGUUACAUAUUGUAACAAAAAACUGGAUUAUAGUGCAUCUCCAUUCUCCAGCAUCUAGCUGAAAUAUACACAAUACUCUGAUUUCUCUCCAUCCAACCUUUCAAUCAUAUCUGUAAAUAUUGUAAACACCUCCAGCAUCGGGUUGAAAUAUAUGUACACAAGUGCAUUGCUCUCUUUUGAACCCUUUCGCCAUAUUCGUCUACCAUCAGGAACGACUAGAUCCUUCAGCCACGUGUAGAUGAAGCACAUUACGAGAGCAAAUCAGCUUGCAGGCUUUUGAAUUCCAAAACCUUCCACCUGCAAUAAUAAAGCGAAUCACGGUCAAUCUUUCAUUUUUGAGAAUGCCAAAAGAGUAUGUAAACAAACUGGAGAUGGAUACAGCAAAUUCACCAAAUGAACAACUUUUUUUUUUUUUAUCAAGAUUAAAAUGGUUUCCAAGACCAGUAAAGUGACAAAAAGAUAAGAAUAACAUUUUAGUCAAAUGUUGUCAAACCCACAAAGAUACCCACAGUGGCGUACUACAAUAUUAUAUGGGUACUGAAUUUGAUUCUACAAACAUGAGAUAUCAAAGUCAACAUACAAUCUCACAUUGCAUUUUUUAGGACAUGUAAACCAUAGGAAAAGCGAGAACAACCCAUGAUCAGCCCAUGCCUAUGAACCCCGCAAGGCCGCAACACCAUUCUGAAACAAUCCUUUAUAGCUUAACAUUCCCAAAUCCAGCCUUAUCAAACCACUAAAUAUACUCUCCUUCCUCUUUAUGAGCAUCAACACAUCUGUGAGAGAACAAGACGUCCAAAAAGUAAGGUAGCAUGUCCAAUUAAACUUUACACAUGCUUUCCCUCCCAAUUUCAGUACCCAUACUUCGCUGAUUCCCUGUUGAGAAUCUGGCGAAUACUCAAUAAUGGGAACUAGUGGGAUUGUGGGAAGACUACGAGGAAUACUAUUAGAGAUAGAUAUCAAUGUGAAAAAUCUCUGUAGCUGUUCAACUUGAAGUCUUAAAUAGACAUGUAGUUACUAUUCAUUGUAACAACCAUAUCUUGAACCUUGUACGCAGUUCUGUGUUAUUCACCACAAGGGCAUACCCCCUCCCCCCUCCAGAUAAAAUGUGUCAAAAAGAUCGCAAGAGUUUUUAACAUGCAAGUCUUGUUAAAUAUUUAGGCAAAACAUUGCUAUGCAUAGAAAUUAGAAGCACUAAUGAUGGCUCUCUGCAUAAUCUUUGUAUUACAAUUGCAAUUUUUAGUUAAAUAAAGCAAUCCGAUAAUAUGAAUUCAGUUGUCACAGAGCUCACUUUUAAGUUUAAUCCACUUCUCAGUACAUGCAUUUAGAAAACAUAAUAAAUACUCUUCAAUUACUGGUAUUUAUAGCCUUAAUUUCUUAUAUUUUUAUUCUCAAAUAGAAUCUUAGUACUAGGCAUAGGCAGACAAUGUGAUUUCUUAUUGUGAUUCUUUAAUUUCGAAUGUCAAUGCUAAUGAAUAAACAUGUCAAAACCAAACAUCAAGGAUAGCUAAUAACACACAAUAAGAAAUAGGACUAGUAUCAUA